rnacentral:lncRNA from 1 species
UCACUUUGAAGUUUGAACAAGCAAGCAAGCAACCCAAGUGACCGGAAACCUGAAUCUAAACCACAAACCAUUAUUCAAAGUUGAACCACUUCUCUUCCAUCGUGGCCACUCUCAUCUCCCCACAUGGCUUCUUUACCUCCUCCACCUCCUAAACCCCCUUCACUUCUUCCUUAAACCCUCAUUCUUUCUUUCUCUCUCUCUCUCUCUCUCUCUCUCUCUCUCUCUCUAUGGAUUUGAGAAGAACAACCAAAUCUCUCACUACUCUUCUUCUCAAAUCAAAACCCUUUUCUAAUUGUUUAAACUAUACCACUUAUCGAAAAGAAAGACAAGUGUUGUUAGAUCAAGAUGAAAAAUUUCGAAACAAAGUAAUGUCAAUUCUUUCAAAACCAUCUUUUAAUCAAUCUCAAUGCAAAGAAUCCCUAAUUGAUUUAACCCCACAUCGAUUUGAUUCCAUUUUAUUUGAUAUUCAAUCUUCUAUUAAUCCUCAAACCACAUUAAAUUUCUUCUCUUUUGCUUCAAAUUCAUUAAGUUUUAACUUCACUGUUAGAUCUUAUUGUCUAUUAAUUCGUUUACUUAUUCAAUCCAAGUUUGAUGAUUCAGCUCGGUUACUUUUGAUUCGAUUAAUUGAUGGAAAGAUUCCAGCUUUAUUUGAGAAUUCUUCUAAAGAUAACCAACAUUUGGAAAUUGCAAGCAAAAUUGCGGAUUUUAAUGCUAAAGAAGGGGUUUCAAUUGCGGUAAUUGAUUUAUUGAUUCAUUGUUAUUGCACUCAGUUUCAUGCUUUAGGAUUGAAGUUUGCUUUUGAUGUUUUUCGGUUUUUGACAAGUCGGGGUUUAUAUCCAAGUUUAAGGACUUGCAAUUUUUUGUUGAAUACUUUAGUGAAAGAUAAUGAACUUGAGAUGAGUUACGAGGUUUUUGAGACAAUGUAUCGUGGUGGUGUUUCUCCUAACGUUUAUUCGUUUAGUACAGCAAUUAAUGCUUUUUGCAAGGGAGGUAAGGUUGAAGAAGCAACAUGUUUGUUUUCGAAAAUGGAAGAGUUGAGAAUAAUUCCGAAUGUUGUAACUUAUAAUACACUUAUUAAUGGGCAUUUUAGAAAAGGAGAUUCAGAUGAGGCUUUCAGGUUGAAAGAGAAAAUGAUUAAGAAUGGUGGAACUCCUACACUUGUUACAUACAGUAUUCUUAUUAAUGGUUUGGUGAAAUUGAGGAAAUUUGAUGACGCAGAUUGUGUCUUGAAAGAAAUGGUUGGCAAGGGGAUUGCUCCAAAUGAGGUCAUUUAUAACACACUGAUCGAUGGUUAUUGUAAAGUAGGAAAACUUGACAGUGCGUCGAAAAUAAAGGAUUCCAUGGUGUCCAAGGGAAUUCAUCCCAAUUCAGUUACUUAUAACUCACUUCUGAAGGGAUUGUGCAGUGUGGGUCAGAUGGAAGAAGCUGAAAAUCUUUUGGAGGAUAUGAUAUCAAGAGGUGUUUCUAUAAACCCUCAUGCAUUUAAUUCGAUAAUCAGUUUCUUAUGUAAGAAAGGUAGGCUUGAUUCUGCAUUUCGACUCUUCAGACAAAUGCUGUUCAGAAACUUGAGGCCGAAUGAUGGGGCUAUGACCAUGUUAGUCAGUGGACUCUGCAAGGAAAGGAAACUAUCACAGGCGAAGGAGGUUUGGUUUAAGCUGCUGGAGAAAGGGUUUGCGGCCAAUAUAAUAACCUCAAAUGCCUUGAUACAUGGGCUUUGUGAAAGUGGAAAUAUGCAGGAUGCAAUUACACAUCUCAAGGUGAUGAUUGAUAAUGGAUUACAAGUGGAUCUAAUCACAUACAACACACUCAUAUCUGGAUUUUGCAAAGUGGGUGAUGUGGAAGCAGGGUUUAAAAUGAGGCACGACAUGAUUAACCAGGGAUUUCAGCCAGAUAAUUUCACAAACAGUGCAUUGAUACGUGGGCUUUGUAAUGCACGUAAAAUGGAGGAAGCUCUUGGUCUAUGGAAUGAGUUGAAAAGGGAUGGUCGAGUGCCAGAUGUUUUUAUGUAUAGUCUAAUGAUAGAUGGGUAUUGUAAGGCUGAUAAACUUGAAGAGGCAGAGAAGUUACUUAAUGAGAUGGCUACCCAGGAUAUGGAUCUGAAUUCAGUGGCGUAUAAUGCACUCAUUGGUGGAUAUUGUAGAGAGGGAAAUAUGCCGAAAGCGUUCAGGCUCUGUGAUGAAAUGAGAAGCAAGACCAUCAAGCCAACUGUUGUUACAUAUUCUACACUAAUUCAUGGUCAAUGUUCUGGUGGCUGCGCCGAGGAGGCAAAAAACCUUUUGGAAGAAAUGAGAACGGAAGGAUUGGUUCCAGAAGUUGUCUGUUAUACUUCCAUUAUUGGUGGUUUUUGUAAGUUAGGUCAAAUGGACAAAGCAAGAGAAGUUUUACAGGAAAUGUUUGACCGUGCUGUAUCACCAAACAAAAUUACAUACACCAUAAUGAUUUAUGGAUAUUGUAAAAUAGGUAACGUGAAAGAAGCGGCAAUGCUUCUAAGUGAAAUGUUGGAGAAAGGUAUUGCACCUGAUGUGGUUACAUACAAUGCUUUUAUAUAUGGAUACUGCAAGGAAGGAAAGAUGGAAGACGCUUUUAGGAUUUGUGAUGAGAUGUCUAAAAGGGGUUUGGUGUUAGAUAAAAUUACGUAUACAACAUUGGUUGAUGGUUUGACCAGUUUAGGUUUUCCAAAAGAAGCAACUUUAAUAUCCAAAUGCAUGGUAAAUAGUGGCAUGGCUCCUCAUAUUACGCCACCGCAGUCAAUAGUUGAUCCCUUCGAACUCGGAUUGGAAUCUUUGGAAAAAAGUUUGCACCCCUAGUGAAAUCAGACUUAUGUGCUGGAUUUCUUAUGUCUUGGUGGUGACCUAAGAACCCCAAACUCUAUGAUCUUAUUGCAACCUAUGUUGCUAUUCAGGUCUGUUGUUAUGUUGUAGACUGGGUAGUGCCUAAGUAGAGAGCAAGAGGGAACUUUUCAUGGUGGCUCCUUAGACAAAAGCAGCAUGGAUGAUUAGUAUCAUAUGUUGACAGGUUAGCCUCUUCUUUAUUUAUGUCUACUUUCAUGUGAUACUUUCAGUUUUCUUGUACUCAAUUUUCUGUUUUUCCAGUUUAAUGUUGCGCUGUCAAAUACUCACUGUCAUGAUUCUCUGUUUGGCAUAUUAAACAGGCUUUUGCUAUUCAUGCCGACAGCUUGAAAAGACCAAGAAAUGCAAGCUCAAAUUUUGGAGAAGAAUAAAUGAUCUUAUUCUUGUAAUAUCCCAAGUAAGCAACUUUGUUUCCAUCUAAAAGGCAUUCUACCACUUGUUCCUUCAUUUUUCAAACAAAGACUUCAUUGACCAGUUAGUAUAAUAUUAACCUUUGGGGUUUCUCUGGUUAUUCAGUGGUGGAUGCUGUGGAAAUUAAGGAUGUGUUUAUAACAAUGACUGUCACAAUAGUAUAGUCAUUCCUGUAGUGUCAAGGAGAAGUUGCUUCAGUCAUUCCUUGAAGAUCCGGCUUAUAGCAGGUCUGAGUAGCGGUCACCCCUUUCUGUCAGUUAAAAAGGACCAUUAGGAGCUCUGAUAAAAACUCCAGGCUUUAACAAGGCUUUCUGAAAAGCAGUAUAUGCUCCAUACAUCAUCCUAUUCUUAUCUUGCCGAUGAGGCCCAUUGCAGUAAGUAUCAUUGUCUUUUCUGAUAUCUACAUUAGUACUCGAAAAGCUUCUUCUAUUACCAUUAGUACCUGCCGGAAAGUUCAGGUCUGGAAGUCUGGUGACAGAUAAGAGAAGGUCUGUCCUAACUAGUGUGUAAUAGGACAUUGACUAUAAAGAAAGCCUUCAUCCCAUUAAUAUUUCUAUGGUGCUAAGUCUAUUACCUUUGAAAGACUAUUAUUUUGAAUGGCUCCAUUUCUUUGAUCUCUACUGAAAUCACCUUAGGAUUCUAGGCUUUGCAACUAAGGAAUAUUAAUGAUGUGAUGGCAAUGCUCAUGGUCAUUGUCGUCAUACACAUUAGGAUUGCACUUCUGGUAUACGCUUUACUUUUUAAUGUUUUGAGUUUCUUAACCUCAUGUUCUUGAUAUCAUCAACCAAUCUGACUUUGUUGGUUCAUGGUCAGACCAUCUUACUGUUUAUAUUUGAUAGAUUAUAAGAAAUUCAUUUGUUUCAUCUACGUCACUGUGAAUAAAAGCUUUACCUGGGUUGACUGGACAAAAGUCACUUGACCUUGCACAAGAUGGUUCAGAUGGCCCACCCUAGCUCUGUUCAGGUCUUUUGUCAUUUACAACGGAGGUCCUACUUUUGUGGAACCAAUGUGUUGCCGGUAGACUGAAGUGUUGUUUUAGUUUUAGGUUGGUUUAUAGGAAAUGUGUUUAAAAGUCAUGACAUCUCCCUGGGAGAAGAGAUGUCUAUUGGCGGUAUAUGGAGGAGUUUAGGUAAGUAGGUUUACAUGGAAGAUUUUGAUAGAUGAAUGAUGUUUUAAGUGACAGGCGGUAGGAGUUCUUGAAGUUUAAGAAGAAAGAAUGUGCACUCACAACAACAAUUCCACAAACUUUUUGAAGGAGAUGAGGGACUUCUGUUUGUAUCUAUUGAGUGCAAGAUUAUUUCUUUCAUAUAAGUGUUUUACUAAGUUGUAAAAGUCUCUCAGAGGAAAGUAAUUAAUCCACUUUUAAAUUGUAAAAUAGAUCAAGCUCAAAAUUGUUGUUGUGACACUUAAUUGACAUCUGAGUGCUAAGCUAGCUGCUGUCUAGGUAUUUUCUGUCGCUUGCUGCUGUACUUUUUGCCAUCAACAAUCUCGAUACUAACCUUGGCAUUAAGGAGCUGUUAGAAACAUGUUUUGAUAUUUUGGAGGCAUGAUGGUGAUGUUAUCAGUUAUAGUGCUGCUUUGUGGUUUACUUGUUUAGAACAUUUGGAUCUGAUAUUGGAAAACACAACAUUUGAAGGAUAUUUUGAACGGAUAUCGUAGCCUUCUUUGAAUUGUUAAAUAGUACCUAUAAAGUUGAAUUCAAUGCACCUGAAAUAUUAUAUUGCUAAACAAUAUAGAUUAUUUUAUGAAAAAGCUCUUUUUUCCACAUCAAGCUGCUCAGAAUUUAUAUCCUCUUCAGGUAUCCACAUCUCAUGUAUGUGUGCACUGGUGGAAGGUAAAGCGAGGAGAAAGAAAAUAGAGGACGGACUGAAGAUUUGGUGAAGCUGUACCCAUAUUCAAGCUGCCCAUCAUUGCAGGUGUUUCCUGAGCAGUAUAGAACUACCAUAUCAAGGAGUAAGCAUCAUGGCUGCAAAAGGACUGGAUGUUGGUAAGGAGAGCAAACUUGUAGUUACUAUAAAACAAUGUAAAGUAUACACGUAUGCCCAAUUGCUAAUCAACGAUGCACUUGAUCAGCAGGGGUGAUACAAAAAAUAUAUUCAAUAAUUCUUUAAUUAUUUCUUACAAGGAAUAUACCAAUAAGCAACCUACUAAAAGAGUUGUAUGCAUGUCAUCCUGACCUAAAUUGCCAUGUGAUGACCAGUUUUGUAAUCAAAAUGUGUAAGUUCUAAUUGCUUGAAGAUGCAAAUCAACACAAUAGAUUUUAGAGAAAUUUGGACUCUCUCUCUUUCUUUAAACUUUGAUAUCCCCCCAUUUGGCAAAAACAGAUGUUAUCCCCUUGAUUUUUGUCUGGUGUGUUGCUUCUAUUUGUAAAACAGUUAGUUAAAAAUUUCUACUUCCAGGGCUUGUUAGAUUAACUUGUGGAAAAGAACCAAAAAGUUUCUCACUCGGUGAGCAUCAGAUUCCAAACCAAGUAUUUAGCUACCAGAGACAUUGUUAGUGGAGCAGGAUCCCUUUUCCCCCAGAAAAUAGAUAUAUUAUGCCAAUCUUCAUUGAUAAGCUUAAUACAAAAUCUUCUAUUGAGCGAAUAUAGAAGCCCUUUUUAGUCUGCGUUUGCAACAACACUGAGCAGAGCUAAGAAAAACUUCUCGACUUAUUUUUACACCAUGUUGUAAGCUUCUAAACGUACGAAACUGCUGUUUAAUAGUUGAUGGGAGCCCUCAUAACAUGAACUCAUGAAGUUAUCUUAGGAGCUAAUUCUUCAUGGGUAGAAGGCCUACCUCAAAUGAGAAGCUUGUGGCCAUGUGCUUAGCUCUUUUAGCUGUGGUUUCACCACUGGUGAUUGAUCGGAAGCCAUCAUGUGAGACAGAAGACGACGACGAUGAUGAUCAGUCCAUCAGUUUUACUUCAUGGCUACCUCUACUGCUUGUUGCCUUGAUAGCAGCUAUCAUCAUGUCAAGUUCGGUGGGAAAGAACUUUAGUAGUUCUGAUCCGUACUGGAUACACAGGAUAGGUGGUUCUUCUGGUGGAAUCAUCCUGCUUCUCAUGGUUCUUGCUCUGGUUUUGAGGUGCAAAGGUUCAUGGGGUUGAAAUUAGUCUGUGCAUAUAAAUGAAUACUAGUAUGCAUGAUGUCCUCAAUUUACCAAUGUGUUCUUCCAACCAAUGGUUCUGUACUACGGUGUGAGAAUAGCAAUAUAGUAUGUUACUCAAGUUGCUGCUAAUUCUUUGUUCUUAAAUACUCCCUGAACCCAGAAGGGUGAUAUGUUGCUCAAUCAGAAGAUGAGAACAAUAUAUGAAUACCAAUGUAAAAUAUAAAAAUUCUGAGGGAAAGAUCACUAAUAGUAAAAAAGAUUAUUAUAAAAAGAUAGAUUUCUGAAUUAAUUAGCAUAGCUAAUUUUUGUUAUGCUUUUUUUGGUUGCUGGAACCAGUCCUAUGACAUCUUGAUUCCUGAGAGUUGUUGUCCCAUCAUAGUAAAAAAGAAGUUAUAGUGUCUAGAUUAUGGUUUCGAUGGAAUAUGUAUUCCAGAGGACAGAAGUAUUCUUGAUUGUUGUUGUUUUGGACGAAGACACAAUUCUUCACUACAACUUCAGUGGCGAUAUUGACAGUAAACGAUAGUCUGUCACAUAUAUUAUGUAAUGACACAAAAAAUCAUCAUUAUUCAUCAAUUUACCAAAAAUGGAGAGGCGCUGUAGAAGGAGAGAAAUACCUAGUUUCUCGUUAAUCUGUUCCUUCAGUACUGAAACUGACCGCCUACAAAAUGCUUUCAUCGUACGUUUUGUACCAAAAUAACCACCACCUGCGCAAAUGAUGUCAACUUGGACUGCUGUCUCGGGAUCUUUCUUGAUGUAAAAAGUCAUCUUCUUAUGAGUCUUGAUACCAUCUAAGCUAGCAAUUUUCUUAUCAUUAUUAAAAAUCAACCUCUCUUGGUAUUGAAGGAUCUGUUCAUCAGCCUCAUUUUGAUACUAUUGUUGGAUAGAUGUUUCAAGUCAUUAAUGGUCUCUACUCCUAUCACAUGACGCUCACCAGAUUGGUCGAACUCAACAAGGAUGUUCUCCAUGGGAUUGAUGAAGGCUCAGAAACAAAAAUCAAGAAAGGAAAGGUAGGUCUGUACUCUGUAGAGUUCUAGAAGCAAGUUGUAGCAAUCAGCUGAUAUAUUUACACGCAUAAGUCAUGAAAAAUGACCAUUAUUCUCCAUCUCCCCCCAUUAACUUUGUGUGGAGUUUUUUAGUUUGUGGUUCAAUGAGUUUGUUGUUAACUAGCUUUGCAUGUACUAGUACUGUAGUACAUAAGCUAACAAGUCUGGCAAUUAUUUUUUCUCUGCAAGGACAUUAAUUUGAUUCCAUUGUUACAGUAUUUGGUUUUAGAAUGAGUUUCUCGAUUUAAAGCACACAAUCAAAAUUAAGUUUCAAUAAUGAAUAUGCAUGGUCCAUAAUUUUCUUGUCCAUUUACAUGUACUGAUGUACAAUAUUUGUUUUUCUCUAAGUGAUCGAAAGCGCGCAUUGUCUUCAUCCUAGCUAGAUUUUUGUGGAUCAUGGUUAAAUCAUCUCACUAUUUAUAUUUUGUAUAUAUUUAAUUCAUCCUAGCUAGCUAGAUUGUUGCUUAAUUCGAUGUCACUGAAUAAACCUAAUAGUAAUAUGUCACUCAAGUUGUUGGCUGAUUCUUUUCUCUUGAAUACUCCCUGAACUCAGAAGGGUAAUCAUGUUGCUGGAUCAGAAGAUGAGAAGUUGAGAACAAUAUAUAUGAAUAUCAAUAUAAAAGAAAUUCUGAGGGAAAAAUUACAUUUCAUUGAUGGAAAUUGAGAAGAUGACUAAACAAUAAUAUAAAGAUUCAUAUAAAAGAUUUCUAAAUUAACUUGCUAACUAAUUUUUUUUUGGCUUUUUUUGGGUGCUGGAACCAGUUCUACGACUGGGGGCUAGGCACCCACGCCCGACACCUCCUCAUUUCAUCAGAUGAUAGGAUACUCUGAGAAUCCUAAGACACCAUUGUCUGGAAUAGAAUACUCCUUCAAGGUCUUAAAUCCUAAGAGUUGUUGUCCCAUCCAAGUGAAAUAGAUGUUGUAGUCCUCAGGUAGAUUAUGUUUUUCACGGAAUUUGUACUCCACAGUGUAUAUAGUGUCCUUCUGUGCGACAGGGAAGGAUUCUUGUUUGUUUUUGUAUUGGACAAAGACAUAGUUCCUUGGUACACCUUCAUUGGCGAUCGUGCAAGAAACUGUUGGCCUUUCACUUAUUAUGUAAUCACGCAAUAAAUCUUCAUCUUUCAUUGGUUUUCUAAAAGUAGUGAGGCUCUGUAGAUAUGGACCAAAACCUAGUUUCUUGUUAAUCUGUUCCUUCAGCAUUGAAACUGUCUGGCCACCAAAUGCUCGAAUGGUACAUUCUUUCCCUGUAGCAGCAGCACCUUGGCAAACAACGUCAACUUGGACUGCUGUCUGAUGAUCUAUCUUGUUGUAAAGAGUCAUCUUCUUAUGAGUCUUGAUAUCACGUAAGCUAGCAAUUUUCUUAUCAUUAUCAAACAUCAAAUACUCUUGGUAUUGAAGGAUCUGUUCAUCAGCAUCAAUUUGAUACUCUUGUUGGAUACGAUUUUUUAAGUCACCAAUGGUCUCUACUCCUCGUAUAACAUGACGUUCACCAGAUUCGUCGAACUCAACAAUGAUGUUCUCCAUUUGGAUUGAUGAAGACUUACAAACAGAAAACAGGGAAGGUAAGGAAAGGAAGGUCUGUGUGGUAGAGUUUUUGCAGCUAGUUGUCAGUCGAUAUGAUGGCAGUAAAGCUUAAGUUUUGCAACAAUCAACUAAUGUAUUUAUACUCACAAGUCAUGAAAAUUUAACAUUAUUCUCCAUCCCCCAUUAGCUUUGUGUGUGGAAACUGGAAACUGUUGUUUGCUGCCGUACUACUAAAAGCAGGAUUGUUGUGGUACUUGAUGAGUUUGUUGUUAUAAUUUGCAUGUAGAUGCAUAUGAAUGAAGACUGCAUGUUCAAACAGUUUGGUGGUUUAUAGGCUAUAGCUGGAUAUUAUUCUCAUUAGUCUCCAGUACAGAAACUAAGUCUGGCAACAAGUACAUGCAGCCCCAUCAUGAGUACAUUUUUCUGUUUCUAUUGCUAAUUCAUCCAAGCUGGAUGAUUUUUUUUCUUUUGGGUGAACAUCUUAGCUAGAUUGUAGCUUAAUUCACUGUGAAUAAACCUAAUUAUAGCAAAGCAUUUUACCUGGUUGAAUGGACAAAAGUUGCUUAAACUCUACACAAGAUUACUUGGAUUAUGGUAGACCUUGGGUCUGUUCAUUUACAGCAGAGCUCAUACACAAGAAAGUCCCACAUCGAGCAGGAAAAGAUUUAUUACUGUAAAUAUAAUUGUUUAGUGGAACUAUUUUGGGCCGUUUUAGUUAAAAGUUAAAGCCCACACCACGUGCUAACAUAAGAUCAAAGGCCGUGUAAAAGCCCAUAAUACUGUUCAUGGGCCUAUUAUCCAUUAUCCAUAAACUGUUCUGUGUGUAAGCCCAACAUGUUGACAGUCUCUCAUCUACUAAUGAUAGCUCCAACAUCUGUCAGACUAAUGAGGAAGGUCAAGAAACCAUCAAGAGAUGCCUUACAUUAUUCAGAGUUGAUAUAUCUUGCAGGUUUUAUUGUUGUGGAGAAGACGAUGAUUUCGAAAAUUAAUCAGCCUAUAAAUAUUUUUUUAUUUUUAUUUUUUUAGUGCUGGAACCAGUCCUAUGACUGGGGCUUAGGCACCGACGCCCGACAAUGAAGAUUACAACUAGUUGUCUUCAACAUUACAUAUUGUCAAACCCAUGAUUCCUAAGACAGCCGAGUCUGGAAUGUUAUACUCCUCUAAAGUCUUAGGCCCCAAGAGUUGUUUUCCUUUCCAACUCAAUCUAUACUUGUACUGGAGGUAAUUUAAGUUUUUCACAGUAUAGAAAUGACAAAGUAUAUAUGGUGUCCUCCUUGUCAACAGCCAACAUUGCAACAUCAUCUUCCUGUAGGCGAACUAUGACGCAAUAAUUUGAUGAUUUAUUUUUGGCGAUCUGGAGAUCAAAUGUAGGUGUUUCACUUAUUAUGUAGUCACGCAAAAAUCAUCAUCAGUCAUCACGUCUUCCAUGAAAGAGAGGCACAUUCGAUAUGGAGAAACACCUAUUUUCUGAUUAAUCUGUUGCUUCAGUUACUGGACGGUCUGCACUAUCCUCGCCAGAACAAAGAAGCUUAAGUUUGACCUUUUCCAUGAGCUCUUUCUUCAUGUAAACUGUUAUCCAUUUAUCAUCAUCAAAACCUGGUAAGCUAGUAAGUUUCUUAUCAUCAUCCAACAUCAACUUGUCUUUAUAUUGAAGGAUCAGAUCACCAGUGUUAACGUGAUACUUCUGUUGGACCUGAAUUUUUACGUCAUAAAUGGUCUCUACUUCAUGCAUCAGAAUGGUUGAACACAGCCAUGAUGGUCUCCAUUGUAUUGAUGAGAAGAAAGAGAAAAAUCAAGGAAGAAAAGGAAGGUCUGUGCUGUAGACUGUAGAGUACUAGUUGCUGCAGAAAAGCUUAAGGGUGCAACAAUCAGAUGAUACUAAAAUGUUGUUUGAAAAAUCUGCAAUUAUCCUUGUGUGAAAAAUGUUGUUAGCUGCAGUACUACUAAAAGCAAGAUUUUUGUGGUUCAUGUGUUUGUUAUUAGUUUUGCAUGUACUGUAAAUGAGUGAAGAGGACUGUUCGCGAUUGUUUUGGUCUAUAGAAUUAGAUGAUUAUCUCUUCCUACAGAAACUGAGUCUGGCAACUAUAACCCCAUGAGUCUUGAGUCAUGUUGUCCCAAACUCUAAAAAUAGACAGUAAACCUAAUAAACAAAAUAUGCUAUUUAAAAAACAAUGGGACUUGAUAUUUAUUAAUGAUGACAAUGGGACUUGAUAUCUACAAGACUGUACAAUACUACAAUCAACCAUCCCCGGUAAUACAUUGAAAAUGAGAGUAGAUGUUUGGUUUGCAGAGGUACAUAAAAAGGACAAAAUCUCAGUGAGUCGUGGUCACAUCCUCUGUGGCAGAAUAUGUUAAGCAAAUCGGGAUCAUGUACUGCCAAUUGCUGGAUCCUGAAUUGGAUGGCAUCAAAAGAACAUCAGAUUGCCUAUGAUCAUUAACACUUCAUUACAUCACAGCAGAAGCAGCAAGGUUCGAGUAUGAUUCACAGUUUGCUUCUACAGCCAAAGUUUUAACGAUGCCUCGACAGGGGUCAGUUCCAAAUGCAGCAUUUGAGAUAUCAACAGAGCAACUGUUUCUCCCUCGGCAGGCCUAAACAACAUUUUUUAAUUAAACACUGGAAUAUGUUUGCCAAAAUUAAGUGAGCAUAGAUGAGUCAACGAUGAGCACAUCUUUUCUACCAAUGCACCCAUAUGACUGGCAAUGAGCUAUCCAAUGUGCAUCAAUUUCCCAAUUGACAAUCCUCAUUGUUGGACAUAUACAUUUUUUGGACAAGAAGGUAAUGUUCCAUGAUGCAACUUAAAAAAGUACAUUCAUGAAAGUAAGCACAAAUGAGAUUCUUACCUUGGAUAUCACAGACAAUGAACUGGGUGCAUGGCAGUGGCCUCUAGAGAAUUUCUGGCAGCUGCCUUGAGGGGUUCCAUAACUAGCAAAUGCUAUGUCUGAAAUCGUGUGUCCAUAAUCACACUGCAAUUGCAUUUCAGGUGCUCUAUCACUGAUUGAGAGAUUCCCAUGGAUAAAAUCUGGAUGUGACCAGAGGUGAAGAGGUGGAUAGUCGGUCUCUGAUACAGAUGAGCAGAUUGUCCUUGUAUAAUGCAACUUGACUGAUAUUUCCAGUGGGUUUCCACCUAUUUCCUCAAAUAUGACAAGUAAGUUGUCGGAUGCCAGUAACCAUGAUCGUGGGAUGUGGUACCUGAAAAUAAUAAAGAUAAACUUUGAUGAAUGAUGGAUGAUGUUUUUAAUCUUAAAUUCUUAAUGAACCGUAAUAGUAUACAUACACGUAUCACAAGACCUUGUUAACUUCGUAUUUUCAUUAUCACAAUACCAAUUUUUUUAUUUACAUAAAAAAGAAUCUGGCUAAUAACGAUUAAGGAUUGGUGUCGUUACAAAUAUCUGGAUAAGAAUCCUGCUAUUGUUAGAAUGGUUGUAAGAGGAAUGGGUUUCAGUUUUGAUUUGGACACGAGUGCAUUUUAACAUAUAGAGCUGAAAAAUGUUUGAACCAAGCAAAAAACAACUAUUUCUAUUUAUACCUUACAGAAAUAUGUAAAGCAUAGAAAUAUAUAUUCUGUAUGUUGGAAUUUAUUUGUUUGUUAGUUUAUUCCAUAUUUCCAUGCACUUUCAUCAAAGGGCCAGUCAUUCUAAUAAUAAAGCCUAUCAUAAAACAAGCAAGUGAAGAUAUACCAGGUUUGAGUAGGCUUUCCACAAUUUGUCACACAUUUUUUGUCAUUAUAAGCUCCCCGAUAAUCACAAGUUUUCUGACAACCAUCUUUUGGGGCAACUUUUGACCAGUAUCUUCCUAGGUUAUGGCCAUUGACCCAAACCUGUCCCUUCCCCAUGCUUCCAAGAUCAAGUGCAACGGGAUCUUUUCCAUCAGGGGCAUCAAAAUAGGUCUGUAAUCAACAAUGGGCAUAAAUGCAUAACAUCAAAUACACAUCUAUCAAUAAUGGUCACUUAAGUUUAACGAUCGAUAUAGUUAUUGAUUACGCUAUAGUAUCACUCCCAUCUGAAAUAUGUUAGUAAUAGUAUUCGGUCACUGUAAGGACUCAUGCUAAAACAGUUUCCAUACAGUAUAUGAAUGACAUUGUACAUCUUGGAGCGAGGAUCAUCCUAGCUCAAAAACUAGGUAUGAGAUCACCAUUCUGUAAACAAGUGAAGAGGAGCAGCUCUCUCUCUGCUUUAUUUUUGCAAAAUUCUUAACAUUGAAUCUUGAUUAAAGCAUUCCAUCAAAAGAAGAAAAUUGAGUACCUUGUACCAGGUUAACAUUGAAGGUAAUUUGUCUGGUGACAGAUGUACCCAGUUCGCAAAUUUAUGUUGGUCUGGAGAAUACACUUUCAUGAACUCACCCUUAAGCCCAACCUAGAACCAUUACAGUAAACAAUUCAGUUGCAGAUACAAUUUGUACGAGUUUUGACAUAUCAAGCUUCAAGGCUAUUUAAGAGAAUAUAACCAACACAGCCAAAAUGCUGAAAUAAAACCCACAAAGUGUCAUUAUAAAAUGGGAGAAUUUUACAUUUUUCGUGGAAAUGCAGCAAUAUAAAAGCAGAGAGAAACGAAUUCCCGUAGAAUAUGUUGCUUCGGUAAACCAUUUUCUUACUUCCUAGGUACCAAUUUAUACUGAGGUUAAAUUAGGGGGAAAUUUUUUUCUUUAAACAUCUCUAUAAAGCUGCAACUUUUAAAAUGUAGAACAGUUACUUCACUUGCCACAGCCUCACAAAGAAAGAGAUCACUGUAUAAGUUGUGUGUAUGAUACAUAGUAUUUUACAUAAGGAAUUUCCAAAUAAAACAGGGGGAAAAAAACCACCUGAUAGGUCCACAAUGACGUUGAGAGGUCGAUUUCUUCAGUUUUCAAGCCAGUCAGCUUAAUCUGUCCUCUAAAUCCUGCACCGUCCUUUUCCAAAAAGGCACCAUAGUUCUGCACAAAGAUAUAAUUUAUUUGUAACAUCAAAGAGAGACAAAAUAAGCACAAAAAUUAAGGUAAGGAAAGAGAAGCGUCAGUGAACUAAAUCUCAAAGGAAGCUGCUCAACAAGAAUCAUGAAAACCUUGAAUCUGAAUUCUGUAAGUUAAAUAAGUGGACUGAUAUGCGUACAUCAAGUUUAACAUUUUAGAUCCAUUCACAAACGAUUUCAUUUCUUACUAUUACGUCAUUUUAGAUGUACUGAUUUCUAAACAUUGGCGGGUCUUUUAUUAUGUUUAAAAUAAUGACGUAUAUAUAAGUUUGUAAACAUCACCUGCAACCCUACAGUCUCAGAUAAAAUUGCUAAUUCAUUGUAUCCUUGCACGAAAUGAAGUGGUUGCACCACACGGACCCAACGCCCCACAGCACUGCCUACACAUCCACAAGGUACGUCAGCAUGCACACAAUCAUUAAGUAUUAACUAGUAUUGUCACAAGCAUGUACCAAAUGAAAUGCAGGGACAUUUAGGCAUGAAUUCAUUUGACUGUAAAGUAAGUAAAGAACUAUAUGUUCAGCUCUACCAAUGACCAUUUCAGAAUUUGGAAGAGAAGCAUAUACAUUAUCUCAUGAAGGAUAGCCAGUGAUUCCGUGAGACUCAAAUCAUUUUUUCUAUAGCCACCAUAGACUUAAAAACUGUCAUCUGACAAGUUACGACUAGAAUAUAAACACUACAAAUGCUGCAUCUACUUCCUAAAUAUGUAUACUUUCCCAAAUAAAAUAUGAAUUGAAAAACUAGCCAAACCUGCAAAUUGACCAUUAAGGAAAAUUUGAACCACAUCACGCAUGCUUUCAAUUAUGAGUGUGGGAGUGAAACUAUCUUCAUUUGCCUCCAAAAAUGACAUCUCCUCUUCGGAGAUCUGUAUCCUAACACCAGUUGCAUUGAGUAAUAUUAGUUGACACUAGAUAAAACUUAUUAACAAGCAAUAUGCUUAUCUACACCAAUUACAUUUUUUAAUUUAAAGAUAGACAAUGAUAUACCUGGUAAUUAACCAUAAAUAAUCAGAGGUGUCCUUGGUGACAUUCAAAUGCUCCAAAAUCCCUUGCACAGUGAAAUUAUUCUCACUCCAUGCACCAACAGGAUCUUCUAGAGUCAUCCAAGUCUUUGAAAUGGUUGGAACAACUUCUUCAACUUGUAAGAUUCUUGGUUCUGUCAUGUACGAAGAAGGUGAUCCAAAUUCUUGUGUUUUGACUGAAAUCUGGGUCCUGACCUGGUGUAAACAUCCAAAAGAAAGAAUAGACCCUGUCAAAAUGUUUGAUGCAACGAUGUCAAGUCAUAUAAAAACUCUAUAUAAGACCUGGGUAUUGAAAAAAUUGAAUUACUGAGGUUGAGUGUCACAUGAAAUGGACGGACAAAAUUAAUGAAGUGAAAAUAAAUUAUUCAGUAUGACUUGUGACAUCUUUAUGUAAUCUUGAAAGGUCCAGAAUAAAAUAUUGCCUACAAUUUUAAUGAAAGUUCUUAGACAAAUUAUUAGUAAUAUUCACUAAAAAUAUAGUGAACAAUAAUAUUCAUUUAACUUUCCAACUUUUAGGCUGUUUAAGAAAGUUUCAAAUCAAAAUUUCAUUUGUUCAUGUUAUCACAAAAUCUAAAGACCCCAUUCAUUGCUGAGAGUUCUCUAACAUAUCUCUAUUAACUAUUUUUCAAAUUUUAAGCAAGUAAAUGUUAUUCCUGCAACUUUUGCCAAGAGAGAUCGAAAACUUGAUAUCAAAAUAUAUGACCCAUAGUUUUAACAGAUCAGGGAACAGCUAUAAGUACGAAUAUACGAACAUCAGUAGACCGUAUUGUGAGACGAGUUGGUACAUUACCUUGGCUGUAUUGUAAGCUACGUCCGAACAAUUUGGUAAUAUACUCACUGACCAAGGUGGUAAUGAAUAUACUCGACCAAGGAAUCUUACACUAGCUGUGUUAUGCUCGUCAAUAUUAGCAAGAAAAGCUGAGCAAACGAUCUCAGUACGAUAUACAUGUGCCUGAAAAGGCCAAAGGAAAAACAUUAAUUUGACGAAGCAGAAUUUUGUAACGUGGGUAGUUAAGACAUAGCUCAUUUUAGCUUUUACUAUUUAAUAUUGUAUAUGAGAUUCACACAAUAAAUAAAAUUUUGUAUUUGUGUGUGCAUGUGAGAUGCUUUUCUCACUUUCUUUCUUCUCUGCUUGCACAUCUAGAGAAAUCCCAAACCCAAGUCUGUCAAGUAGUUUAACAUAUACCUCCUGUUUUGGGCCCAAUUUGAUAUAUUGAGGCGAAUCAUCCACAGCAACCAAAGCAGGUUCACAAAGUUUAAGAGCUGCAUGUAGAUCCUUCAAAUGCCCCCACUUAGGUUGGCUCAGCAGGCCUAGGAAAUGACGAUGGCAUAAGUAAACCAGAUAACACAACUAGGAAUUACCAUUUUCAAUGAAAUAAAUAUGAAAGGAUCUAAUAAAAAGUGAACACUUCUGAAUAAUUUAAUAUUAACAUACUACUUGAACCUGACAUGAUUCACCUACCAUACUCAUCAAGUGGAGCAUCAUAAUCAUAACUAGUGAUAUAAAACGGACCUCCAGCAGUCCUACCAAAGUUUGUUCCACCAAAGUACUAUGAUCAUCAAACGAGUAAGAAUAAGUUCAUGACAACUUCUGAUGAAAUGAACUAGGAACAUGUGAUAAACUACCCUUUAGAUUGUGUAUUAACCAGUUUGACAAGGUUGAGAUGGACAAGUGCACAACAAUCUCCUCCAUUCACCUAUUAUUUAAAAAUUACAUAAACUAGGUGGUUUGAAUAUUUUAUACCAUAUAAUAGUUUUGAUAGCUUCCUCCACGCUGGAAAAAGCGAGCUACAGCAAAUGCAAUGUCUUCAGCAGGCCUGUGAGGAACUCUUUCGCCCCAUGACGUGUACCUUCAAACCAUUUGUCUAAACUAUGAGGUAUAUAUGUAAAACAAACAAGUGAAAGCAGGUGUAAGUGUGUAACACUCAACAUGCCAGUUGAAAAAAGGUUGACGGUUUUAGAACUAAUAUAUCCAUCUCAAAACAACUAGCGAUUAUAAAUCCAAGGAAAUAAGGUCCAAAUAUUUCAUUAAGAGAAAUAAAAUCAUUUAGUACUUGAUUUAGCAGACGGCAUGAAAUUGGUCUUCUAGAGAUCUGAGUAUGAUUCAGAAAUCUCACUCAAAGUUUGCACAGAAAUUUGAAACAUAAAAAAGAAAAACAAUGUAUCAGUAAUAGCUAUUAAGAAAGGAAAGGUGAUUUUUGUACGUAUUUUCAACUUAUUAAUACAUUUGUGAUAAAAACCAGAAAAAUUGUGAAAAGUAUUUCUUUAGUGAUGCUUUUCUUUAUAGAGAAAAAUAAAUACGUGAUAAUAAUGCACUAAUUUUCGGGAAUUAUAAUAUUAAAUGAAUGACAACGGAGAUAGAUAACUAGGUUCAGUACAUCAAUUAUUGCUAGAGAAACGUCCCAAACACGUACGUUAUAAGUUAAACCCUCAAGACGAAAUGAAUUGUGAAAACAAAGAGAGUGGCAGAGCAGUGAACCCAUAAGCCUUCAGGUUUGUGUACCUCACUUGUUAGGCACAAGCCUUAACUAGCAGGGCCAGGCUCAGAAGCAUUUUAAACAUUGAUGAGAACAAGUAGUGAAUAUAUAAAUGAUAUAUAGGGCACCACCAUACCAUCCAUUCCAUUCCUCUGUCCAAAGUGUUGGUUUGUUAUAUGAAUUCGGCUUGAAACCAUCACAAUAAUACCCAUUGCAUGCGUCUAACUGAAAGAGAAAAACAAACAAAAUAAGCGCAAUUAAUAACAUGAGUGACUCGAGACGUGGUAAAUUUUGAAAUUAUAUAAACCCGAGUUGAGUAGUCACCAAACCAAGUUACCAUACAGGUAAAAUUUUCUCGAUAUAGCUACAGUUUCUACUAUCUAGUAAACCAUCUUAGUUGAGGACUUUACAAUAUAUUCUGGAGCAUCUGUCUGUUUGCACAUAACCCAAGGGACACCAGCACCUAGCCCAUAAGCCAUGCUCGCAGCCCACAUAGCAUAGUCUUUUCCACUCUGCCCGUAGGAGCUUUCAAUAUUACCAUAUUCAUUUUCAAUCUGUCAAAAUAUACAUUAACAUACUUAUAAAAGCCACAUCAAAGAGUAAGUUUAAGUAAGAAUAAAACGACAGGACCCUAAAACUUCCAAAGGGAACCUUCGUGAGCAAUUUCUGGUAGGCAGGUACAUAUAGAUAUACAGAUAAUAUGCAAUAUCCUAUUGAUAAUAGUAUCACAGACCAGUGAAAAACUGCAACUUACGUAAUAAAGUUCAAAUAAGGUCAUGGUGAUAACUUUUAAUGUAUAAAUAGCUUCAGAGACAUUAAUACAACCUGCAACAAGAUGAUGGGACCACCUUGCCAUGAAAAGAGCAAUUCCUGGCGCAUUAAAUUCACCAUCUUUUCAACAAAUCUCUGCAUCUCCUCCUGGAAAAAACUAAUAUCAUCAGGAUCGUUAGUCAGACACCAAUAAUGAUUCCAUACUGAAUGAACACCAUUCAACAUAAUGGAAUUCUUGUGUAUAAACCUGAGGUCUCUUCGAUACUAAUUGACAUACUAGGUAAAAAAUUGUCAUUUGUUAUUCCAGUACUAGAAAGCUUAGCUUCCUGGACACAAUUAAAAACUAGCAUGAUCCCAUACCAAAAGCUGCACCUUUCAAUUCUUAAAGGGAAAAUAUAUAUGUCUUGAUAAUAAAUAUUGAAUCUUUUCAUGAAGAACUUAGUUUCAGACUACACGAUAAAAUACAGUAUUGCAAUGGAUUAAAAUUACCACACUAGCCUAUUGGAUACAUGAAAACACACACACACACGCGCGCGCAUAUUGCCCUACCUUGAAUGGUUUAUUGUCAGUUCGGAAUUCUAUGCCAGGGAUGUCUCUUAACCAUACAGGAAAACCCCUGCAACAUUACCAGUUAAAAGAAAAUAAAUAUUUCAAAUUGUGAUUUCAAGCAUGCAAUAUAAUAAAGCCCACAGUAUAAGCUUUAGUUAGAAACAUAUAUGCAGGCAUCUCUCAGAGAUAAAAUACCACAGUAUAAGUAAAUCUUUUUCAAAAGGAGAGAACAAUACCCGAAAUUCCAUUCAGCACAGACAUAAGGUCCUAUACGAAGAUGAAAAUAUAAUCCACUCAUCCCAACCAACUUCACAAACUUGACGAUAUCGUAUCUUCCUUCAAAAUUAUACUGAAAACGGGGAAUACUGUAUAUAAAUACAAAUUCUCCGUUUCCUACAGUGAUCUAAAAACUGUGCCAAAGAGAUCAGAUUACUACACCUGUCCUCUAACUGGCUCAUGACCAUUCCAAAAUGCAUAACUUUGUACAACAUCUGCACCACCUUCCUUAAUUUUGGCAAUCAAAUCAGGCCACAUCUGAAAUCAUUUACACUGUAUAAGCCCCUAAAAGACAGUUCGCAACAACAACAACACAAAAUAAUCUUAUCACCAACUAAAGUGUUAAGUUAGCUGCCUAACGAAUUACACUGCGAGAUUUCUUCAAAAUUUCAUCACUCACUUGUACAUUUCUAUGACUCAAUCACUCAAAAAGCUUUUUUCAAAUAAUCAUAGUUGUAAUAAUGAAUUACUUCUUUGCCGCUUGAAUGCAAUAUAAGAAUGCAAAAUCGUGAUUCGAUCUCAAUACACAAAACAAUCAGAACUUCAAUCAAUUGAACAAAAACGAAAUAAAAAAAGAACACAAAACGAUUUAGUUGAAAGAGUUUAUAAGUGUUGUUGUUAACUGUUUUACCUCAGGAGUUGCACGAGGGUAAUGAAAACCAGCAGAAAUAAGCAUUCUUCGAUUUCCAUCUAUGAUCAAAGCUCUAUGAUCAUAACUCACAUUAAAUGGUUUAAAGAACAAUUCAGCUUUCAAGAUUGAUAGUUGAAGAACAAUCGAAAUGAUCAAAAUUACAAAUCUAAACUUAUUCUUUCGAAACCCUAACAUUGCUUGCUUUCAAAGUUCAGAGUUCAGAGAAGAGAACGAAGGAGAGAGGUUUUGGAUAACGAUCAACGAAGAAAUACAAAAGUGUAGUCUACUCUCAACUACCAUGUAAAGAAGCCAGUUGAUUUAACCGUUUGGACUUUUUUGAAGUUGCACUCAUGCAACGCGUAAAAGAAUGGCGUUGCUCGUUAAAAAAAGGCUUUUCAAGUGGGCUUUUAUUGGACCCGGAUUGAACCCGCACCGACUUUGUUGAUCGGUUAUAGUUAACAGUUUAACAGUUAUCUUAUCUGGAAGACUGGAACACUUUCCCUCCAUCACUUCUCACACCAUGAUUUCUUCUUCUUCUUCUUCUUCUCUUCUUCUUCACCUUCACUAUCUUCCACCUUGUUCACCUUCGCUUUUCUUACCUAAAUUUCAAAUUCCUUCACAUUUGAAUUCAAUUUAUAAACCAAGGAAGUUUUCAAUUUCCGUUUCUUCUUCUUCUUCUGACCAAUCUUCUUCUUCAUGGGAAAGAGAAGAAAUUCGAUGGUUAAGAGAAGAACAAAGAUGGAUUCGAGAAGAAAAAAGAUGGGUUCGUGAAGAAUUACGUUGGAAAUCAGAAAGAGAAUCACUUCUUCAAGAAAUAGCUGAGUUAAAAUCCCAAAUUCAAUCUCUAGAGAAACAGAAUUCUAUGCAAAAGAGUUCAGUUCCGGAAGCUAUAUCGAGUGUUUCUGAAGUUAUUGAGGUUUUGAAGGAAGUUGAUUUGAGUUCUGUGAAUCAGAAACAGAUUUCAGAGACUGGGUCGGGUGCUAUUCCUAUGAUUUUGGAGUCAGAGAAGAAAGAGGUUGAUGAAAUGGUUGUUAAGGAAGUUAGGGUUUUGGAAAAUAGGGUUAAGGAGAUGGCGGCGGCGAAGAAGAAUAAAUUGUCGAUAAGGAUAGGAUCAGAAGGCGAGGAUGUUCGUGCAAUGCAGGUCUGCAUGCAUUUCCGCUAAGAAAUUUCAAGGCGAGUUUUAAGUGUUGAUUUUUCAAAUUUUAUUCAUGCAUAUUUUUAAGCAAUUUGAAACUUGAAAGAAUAUUAGUUUUAGCAUACAACCAUACAUUAAUUAAACUUACCAUACCAUUGGUAUCCCUUCGUUAGGAGUUUGAUUUGAGAAACAUGUAGUGCCAAUGAAACGAAAUGGAAUUUUUUCCACUAUGGUCAGUUGAUGACUAGUUAAGGCGAAUUGGGCAAUGACAAUACAUUAAUAAUAGGCAAGAAUUAGUUCAGUGGGAAAGCAAGACAAGAGAGACAAUAAAACAAUUUUUUAGCAUUUUGAAACUAGAUUCUAGAUAACUGGACACAUCAUUCAAGUAUAAAGGAUAAAGAUGCAACGAUAUUAUUAUUAUGAAUAUUUUUUGUUUGCAAACAUUGAAUAAUAUCAAUCUCAUCCAUAGAACUGUUUGAAAGAAUGAUUUCUGAGGGAGUUCAGUUUAAAUAAUGCACAGAUGCAAGAAAAGGAUGGGGAGCCAGGCUUUGCAAAAUUGACAUAAAAUAGAUUAUCCAUGUGAUGUGGAGAUUUCUGGAUCGCAUGUUUGAAAUAAUUUGUGUGGGAAGGGUUUGAGUGUUUUCCCAGUGUCAUUUUCAACUAUGAUAAUUAGGAUCUAGACAGGGAUCCCGUGUUGUCCAUACUUGUUUAUUAUUUGGGUGGAAGUUUUAGGACGAAUGGCUAAAAGGAUGAUUGAAAGAUGUGUUCCCUGCGCUGAGGAGGAUACACUGGUGUUGGCAUGAAGGGUCUAUGAUGUUCUUUUGAGUUAGUAGCUGCUCUCAAGAUUAACCUUAUGAAAAUCAAGAUUUAUGUAUUUAUCUACAUUUCCAAUUUCCCCAAACCAGCUAUAGGUGGUAGUAUAUGGGCCAGACCUUUACAAUUAUCUUUGUGUAAUUGCACGAUUGCACCUUUACAAUAGAUGUUAAUUCCGUAAAAGUGGGGCUUAGUUUGUAUUACUAUGGGUGUAUAACCAACAAGAACUUGUUUUAGCGGUAUCAUGUUUAUAAUUUGGAUGCUGUCAUGACGAUGGCAGGAAGCAUUGUUUAAGCUGGGGUUUUAUUCAGGCGAGGAAGAGAUGGAAUUCUCUAUCUUCUCAAGUGGGACUGAACGCGCUAUAAAAACUUGGCAAGUAAGUAGUGGAUUUAAUUGUUAUUCAGUCAAUGUUGUGACCCUAUGACUACCAUAAGACUUACUUGAGAAGCUUUAGGCAUUUGAAGUGAUUCAGGACAUGGUCUUGUCGACAGGCUUCAUUAAAUAUUCCUGAAGAUGGAAUUAUGACAGCUGAACUUUUGGAGAAAUUGUAUAUGUUGCAAGGAUCGAUUGAUGGGAACUCUACUUCCACAGUUGAGAAGGUAUGAUCAGUUAAUUUGUUGACCUUACUCCUUAGUGGUAACGUGCUAUUCAGUCCACCAAAUUUCUGUUAUAUCUGCUUCUUUGGCAGUUGAUCCCAUCAUAGGUUGCAUACUUAUGGUUGUAUACUAUUCGCUAUCUAGUAGGGAUUUACUCCAAUUGUUUCUAUGAAUGCAUCCAAUAUACUCUCCAAGAGUGUUGUAGCACAACAUUGCUAAAUGUUCUUUCAUUAGUUUAAGGUGUUGCUUGGUAGCUCAUAAGAAGAGUUGGCCUUUGAACUGAUUACUUGUAGUGACUAGCUUUGGAUUAGGAUGUGGUCAUGUAUUGUUGGCUUUUGUACCAUACAAGUUAGCAAUGAUCUUGACUUGGAUGCACAGUUAGGGCCAUAUUAUUAUGAUGUAGUUUCUGACGCUGAUAUUAAAGCAGAUUUAAAUCAUAACAUGCAUCAGUUGAAAUUUAGAGAUGCUUAUUUUCUUUUCUCAGAAAAUUACAUUCCUUGCUACUGCAAACAAGAAUGACACUUCUGGUGGACCUUGUUAAUACUGCAUGGCUUUACUGUUGGUCUCACUGUUACAUUAUAGUGAUUAACAAAUUUUAAAUCAUGUUUUUGAGGAAUGCUCUGUUUUCUUCCAGGAGAGCGAUAAUGGAGCUUCAGUUGCUUCUGUGACAGAGGUCUCUGCGAUCAAACAGAUUGUUGUGAAAGAAAAUAAUGGUUCAGAAUCUGAGGCAUCUGAUCACCGAGUAUUUCUUCUUGGAGAGAACCGGUGGGAAGAUUCAUCCAGACUAAUGGGCGGAAACAAGCAGGUUGGUGAAAGCACAAUAGGAAUUUCAACAACAAAGUGCAUCUCUUGUCGCGGAGAAGGGCGUGUAUUAUGCACAGGUAUUUGAUUGCUAUCCUUUUGCAAAAGAAGUAUGCGAAUCUGGUUUUGCUAGUCAAGACCCAACCCACUUAUCCUCUCUAAAUGUAUACCCAAUGUCUUUAAAUGUAACUGCUCAUACUGCGUAAAAGCUAUUGGCAGAAUCAAUCUAAAAAUUAGGAAUUGAAUGCAGGGAUGAUCUUAGUUGCAUCUUGUCUGUAGAUCAGUAUAUAUGCUUAUAAGCUGAUCAAGUCAUCAAACUGACAGUAAUUUCAUAAUAUAGAGAGAAAAAGAUGAGAGAUCUUGGUCAUAUUUUGCAUCUAAUAGGUGUUUUGAUGUUUCAGAAUGCGAUGGGACGGGUGAACCAAACAUUGAAGAACAGGUAACUUUGUUUUUAAAUACAGAGAAACAUAUUGUUUGGCAUAUUAUUGUGUUGCAAGUACAUUUGACCGUGUUUUGCAGUUUAUGGAAUGGAUUGAUGAGGGAGCAAAAUGCCCUUACUGUGAAGGGCUUGGUUACAACAUCUGUGACCUAUGCGAUGGGAAAACAAUCAUUACUGCAUGACAUGUCUUCUUUUGUAUGUAUGUUCACUUUGUUUCUACAUGUAUACUUUUUUUAUCAGAGGUGGCAGCAUGUUUGAAUAUAUAAAUUGAAAUAUAACUAGUAUGUUAUCGACGUGACGACAUUGCUCACAGAUGUAAAUAAGAGGAUAUGUUACCUGUCAUGCGUACAGCUGUAUAAUCUUUUUGGAUCAGUAGUAUAUUGAUAUAUAACGGAAAGGUUUCGACUCUAGGAUAUCUGUUUCAGUGGUCACAUCUAAUGAAGAAGCAACAUGAUGUAUGACAAGUGGUAACCUCGAGUAGUAUACUUGUGGGGAUAAGACGACAAGUUCAUUUUCUGACUAAUGUUCCAAUUUUAUGUUGCUGCUAAUGUUGUUAACAUAGUUCAUAUUGCAACAGUUACUGUUUUAUUUUCUUCUUUACAUUGUGAUUGUAACAUGAAUUCAUUUCCUCAAAACAGUUCCAGACUACAAACAUUAGUGAAAUGAAGUAAACAAGAACGCUGUGAAAAGCCUAGGUAAAAUAAUAGAUUAAACAACAUUUAUUGAUGAUGAGGGAGAAAAUCUGGAAGGAGGUUCUUGAAAAGGAUUUGGAGGCAUUAGCAGAUCUUCAAGUUGCCCUUCUAGCAUUUCCACUACAUUACUGAUGGAAGGCCGAUCGACUGGGUGUGUUUGUAUGCACCAAAGAGCCACUAUGAUCAUCUUUUUUGCUGCUUCAUUUUCAAAAGUCUCUCCAGAUCCCUCUAUCUUAAUGGAGACAGUUCCUUCUACCUUAAUAUAGAGCUUCAGAUGAUUAUAUAUCCAAUGCGGGAAAUAUACUUCACUGUUGUUAUUCAUUGUUGCAUCAAUGUUCUUUCUUCCCCCUAUCAUUUCUAGCACCAUCAUUCCAUAACUAUAAACAUCCGAUUUGUGAGAAACCCCGCCGAAAUUUCUACAAUAGACUUCCGGUGCAAUAUAACCUAUAGUUCCUCGAGCCCCAACCAUUGACACAAUACUUUCUCUUGUUGGGCAAAGUUUGGCCAACCCGAAGUCAGAGAUUUUUGGGCAGAAGUCUUGAUCUAGGAGGAUAUUAUGAGGUUUGAUAUCGAAAUGCAAAAUGCGAGUGUUACAACCACGGUGCAAGUACUCCAAUCCUCUAGCAAUGCCAAGAGCUAUCUGGUAAAGCUUUUCCCAUCCCAAAGCACUACUUCCAGUGCUUGAUAUCUUCUCAUUGUAAAUGAACUUCUCAAGAGAUCCAUUUGGCAUAUAUUCAUACACAAGCGCUCGCUUCGUUCCCUCGUAACAAAACCCAAGAAGGCUAACCACAUUAACAUGGUUAGUCCUACCAAUAGUAGCGACUUCAUUGACAAAUUCUUCUCCAUUACCCUUGGAUUCAUUCAGUACCUUAACCGCAACCAAACAACCAUUAUCAAGCUUUCCUUUAAACACACGGCCAUAGGCUCCUUGGCCUAAUGUAUCCUUGAAGAAAUUGGUGAUUUUCUUAAUGUCUGAAUACCUGUAUCUUUGCAGAGUAAGACACCCAUAGCUCUUUAAGAGCACUUCCACAUUUGUUUUACUUUCGGUUUUGUUCUUCCGAUGAGAGAUCAUUAGGUAGUAUAACAUGCAGAACUUCUGCCUAUAUAUGAGGAAUAAGAAGAUUAGAAGUAACCCUCCAGCUCCUGUAGAUACACCUAUAAACAGAGAAAGUAAACAGAGUUCAUAGAGUGAUCAUUAAAAAGUUUCAAUGAACUUAAUACUAAGUACAUAUGUGAUUAGCUUCUUACCAAUUAUGACCUUUAUUCCAGUAGGCAUGCCUGCAAGCAUAAACCAGUAAGUUAAUUGACUUCGUGAGAACCGAAACCAUGGCAAUGAUGAUGCAAAUAUGAUCAAAUCAAGUGAUAAAUCCACUUAAUAAGACUACCAAAGACAUGUUACUUCAAUUUUAACUACACAAUGUAGCAAACUGAUAGUAGAGAAUCAUGGCAAAAAACUUGUACCUUGUGAUGCUGUUUUGAACUUCUUCUCAUCUAAAUAUGUACUGUUUAAUGGACAUGUUCUAUCAAAUAGGUAUUUGUGAUCGUCUCCACAGGCACAUUGUACUGGAAGACCAUUACUGGUUGUUUUUCUGUAAAGGCACAUUCCGCGACUCCCAUCUGAGUGCUCGCAGUCGUUACAAUCAUUAGGCGUAGACCAGCGUAUAUCAAACCCCAAUUGUAACACUUUUGUGAGAUUUGAAUAUCUAAAUGAAUUACUGGACACUGGUACCACUACACUUUCCUCACAGUUUCCGAACCAGUUGAAUCCUUUGGGAAUCUCGGUCUCCUUGAAAGCAUAAGAACGUCCAGAAUUACUGCUGAAGUAGUUAUCUGUACAAGAAAAAUUGUACUGCUCAACAUUUCUAGGAUAAGUGGUGCAGUUGUAGAAAAUAGUGAUAUACUCGUUGUCGUUGGAGUAAUCUAACCAUGCUGUGGAUUCCAGUGUGACAUUAUGUUGUGGAUGAGGACAAGGUUGUCGAUAUAUAUCUGCGUCCACAACCCUAAGUAUAUUCUCAGCAUGGUCUAUGUACUGCACAUAGUAGAGGUGGUUGGAAAUAUUCAUAGCUCCUCUUCCAUCUUCAUCUGCACAUGUCAGUGAAAGUCCUGGAUAUCCACAGUAUCCAGUGUCACUGACGGAGUCAAACCAAAAUGGAUAAUCAAUUUCAAAGCCGUUGGAGCAUCUGUGAUAACUGCUGGCCAAACAAGAAGCAUAUGUUAUUGGAACAAGUCGGGUAAAAAUGUCGAAGAUGAUGACAGUGACAGAGAUGAGCUGAAACAGUUGGAACAUCAUUGCUGAAUCAUAAACACAUUUCUUCUUCUUCUCCUAAUCAUAAGGUAUGUAACAACAUCAAUGCCAAUUGAAGCUUGGAUGCUGCAGACAUAUGUUCAGGGUUGUCGACUUGUCGUAUAUGUUAUCGUUUAAUGUGUGGACAGUAAUGUACAUCACUUGGAAUUAUAGGUUGUGUGGCACCCACGUCAUUGAAUCCUUAUGCCACCAUAUUCAUGGUCUCAUAUGGUGGGCAGCCGCCCCUUUAGAAGCACAAGUCUUUUUAGCAUGUGGUUAACAAAAGGGUUUAUUUGCAAGCACAAUUAACAAUUUAUGCUUUAUAUUGUUAAUAAACAAUAAAUGGGGAAGUUUCAUGUGGCAUUAGUUGUUGGUGUUUAAGGUACUGUAUACUAAAUCAUGAUAUGUUACAGGAUUUGUAUGCACAAAUUUCUGUCAGUAGUAGCAUUAAGCUGAAGAAUACCCUGACCAAUCCAGGUCGCCUGUUUGACGAACGUCAGUGGACGGAGACAUCGUCACUGUAUCUCCUCUGUCCUACUACAGGUGUCACGACAACCUUUACAAAGUCCAAAGUAUCUAACCAAGUAAGGCGCCUCUAACUUAAUCUUGAAGCAAAAAAUAAAUAUGUUCACCAGCAGUUUGAAAGCCAACACAAGUGUAAAAUUUUAACGGUCUACAUUCUGUAAGGUCUCAAGUUAUGACCGCAUAUCCAUACAUAGUGAUACAUAGAGGAAUUGCUUUGAUGGUCAGGGGGAAGAUGUGGAAGGAGGAUCUCGGAAAGGAUUUGGUGGCAUUUGUAACUCUUGGGUACUUUCUUCUAACAUUUCAACUACCUUACUUAUCGAAGGUCGGUCUGCUGGCUCUGUUUGUAUGCACCAAAGAGCCACUAUGAUCAUCUUUUUUGUUGUUUCAUCCUCAAAAAUCUCCCCUGACCCUUCUAACUUGAUGCCUUGUUUCAAACGAUUAUAUAUCCAAUGCGGAAAAUAUAUCUCACUGAUGUUCUCCACUGUCGCAUCGAUAUUCUUUCGGCCACCAAUCAUUUCUAAAACCAUCAUUCCAUAACUGUAAACAUCUGACUUGUGAGACACCCCUCCAAAGUUUCUGCAAUAGACCUCCGGUGCAAUAUAACCUAUAGUUCCUCGAGCAACAAGCAUGGACACAACACUUUCUCUUGUCGGGCAGAGUUUAGCCAACCCAAAAUCAGAGAUCUUUGGGCAAAAAUCUUGGUCUAGGAGAAUAUUGUGAGGCUUGAUAUCAAAAUGCAAAAUCCGGGUAUUACAACCACGAUGCAAGUAUUCCAGCCCUCUGGCAAUGCCAAGCGCUAUUUGGUAAAGCUUUUCCCAUCCUAAAGGAGUACUUGAUGUCUUCUCAUUGUAGAUGAACUUUUCAAGAGACCCAUUCGGCAUAAAUUCAUACACAAGCGCUCGUUUGGUUCCCUCAGUACAAAAUCCAAGAAGGGUAACCACAUUAACAUGGUUAGUCCUACCAAUUGUCGCGACUUCAUUAAUAAAAUCUUCUCCAUUACCUUUUGAUUCAGUCAAUAACUUAACUGCCACUAAACGACCAUCACGAUUAAGCUUUCCUUUAAACACACAACCAUAUCCUCCUUUGCCUAAUGUUUCCUUGAAUGAACUGGUCAUUUUCUUAAUGUCUGAAUAUUUGUAUCUUCGUAGUGCAAGAUUCUCACAGCUCUCUAAGAACAUUUCCACAUUUUUUGGACUUUUGAUCUUGUUCACCCUCUUGUAUACGUAUAUAAGGAGUAAGACUAGAAGUAAUCCUCCAACUCCAGUAGAUACACCUAUAAAAAGAGAAGCAAAUUCAGCUCACAACUAAAAAGAUUAAUUAAGGUGGCGUUUGUUUUUACGUAUUGAAAGGUAAAUGAAGGGUUAAUUGAAGUGAAUGAGUAGCUCACCAAUUAAAACCUUCUGUCCAGUAUGUGUGGCUGCAGCUCCAAGCAUGAGAUUAUCAUUAGUAAGCAUCAUCAACUCACAUUUCAACGUUGAUAUUGUUAUCAUACUGAUCAAUGAAUUUAUCCAUUGAAGGCUAUUGUAAACAAAAGCAGAGAUUGCCAAAGUAUAUUCAAAAGCUGAAAAUUUUGGUAUGUAUACUUCCAUAGAAGAUAUUGAAAGAAUUAUCCAUACUUAUCUGUUUUCUCCAAAAAUCAAAAUCCUAAUGUACAUUUACCUUUCAGACAACAGAAGUGUAUGCUGGUCCGAUAUUACGUCUUAUUUAAGGUUAGGUAAUUUUACUAAUUGCUGUUUUUUUGCCUAAGUAAACAUGCAAGAGUACAGUUGAAAGUCUCAGAGGGAGAGUGUGGGGAAGAAAGAAUGUUACCUUUUGGUGAUGGACAAAUUGUAUCUAGCAAAGAACGGGCACAACCGCACUUGUGAGGAUCCUCGUGCAUGCACAUCCCGCCAGAACCCUCACAUUCUUUACAGUUAAUAGUAGGUGCAGACCAAGUUAGAUCAAACCCCAAUUUUGCUGCUAUAGCAUAGUUACCAGCAUAUGGGGCGGUCGCAGGCGCCACCACAAUCUCCUCACAGUUUCCAUACCAAUCAAAUUCUUUAGGAAUCAAAUCUUCAUCAUCUUGGCUGAACUCAUUGAUAGGGAAGGCAUAAGAACGUCGUACAGGUACAGUAGAAUUGGAAUAAUAAUCAAGACAAGUAAGACGGAACUGCUCAACCUCGGUGAAAUUGUAAGGAUGUUUGGUGCUGCAAUUGUAGAAGAUAGUCCAGUUGGUGCCAAAUGUGCCUGAAUAAAGAAAAGAGUAUUUGUAGUAGUUUAACGCUGGUGUGGAUGUCAGUGAGACGUUAGGUCUUGGAUGAGGACAGUCUCUAUCUGCAUCUACAUCCACAACUUUAAGUGUCUUUUGUUCAUAGUUGAUUUCUAGCACAGCGUAGUUGUGGUUGGAGAUAUUCACCAGUAGUCUACUAAAAUCUUCUGAGCAAUCUAGUCGUAAUCCUGGAUAUCCACAAGGAACCUCCUGUCUACCCCAAAACGGAUAACUCUGUACAAUGUUGCCAGGGCCACAGGUAAAAGAACUGUUCCAAUUACCAUCGAAACAUGUAAAAUCUUGAGAUGCUGUUAUGAGGAGACUGUCAAAGAUGAUGAAGAAAGUUAUAAUGAAUUCCAACAUGGCUACUGAAUCACACAACACUACCUCAUUCUUCUUCUUCUGCAUCUUCUUUUAAGAAGACCGACCCUGCAGCCAAACUAGUUCAAUGAAAUUAUUGUACUAGAGUUCCCAUGUCAAGUGGCAGUUCAAAAAAUGUCCCCAUCAACAUGGCAUGGUUGUAUGAAUUUGACUGGUACUUAAGUGGUUAGCAAUUAAUGGUAGCUUAUUUCCUGUAAGGCUGGAACAUGUUAUUUGUCUGGUUAUUUUCAAAUUGAACUUUUGUUUUUAUUAUUAGUAUUCACACUUAUGAUCAACAUUCAUGUCACAUCUAUUGGUAGGUGACCUUCAGGGUGGGAUGGUAUGAACUCAGUUCAGGACUUGUCUUAAUAAUUGUUAGAUGAGCCAAGUUUCAACAUAUUUUGAAGCUCGUCAAUUAAAGUACUAUUCGAGCUUGAAAUUGUUGAAGCUUGGCUCGAAUAUUAAGUUUCGAUCUUUUACCUACUCGGGCAGUCGGCCAAGACCUUCUUUGGACAUAGGCUUGUAAAAUAACUCUGACCUUGAACAAACUAUUAAAAUUGAUCCAUUAUCAAGAUAAGUCCGGGUGGACAAACAAUUAGGAAGUUAAGAUCAACAACUCAUCAACAAGCCUAUAAAAUCAUCAGUGAAUCAAAUAAUGCAAAAACUGAAUUAUAUAUAUAUAAGAUUGUCAAGGUCAUGUGCAACCUGCAUCAAUAACACAUAGGUAGCUCAGGUAUGGGACAGAGUCUUUGUACACAUAGGCAACUCGAUAAGAUUGUAAAUUUGAAUUCUAUACAAAAAUAAAAUAAAAAGCCAAUAACAUUGUACAUAAUUAGACAUAUUACUAAAAUGAUCGGCUAAACCUCGGUAAGUAUAAUACUCACUAAAUAAUGUUGUGGUAAUGGUACAUAUAAGCUUUCAGUGGUUAAGCAAAUUUCAUGAUGACGAGGAAGAAGAUAUGCAAGGAGGGUCUAAGGAAGGAUUUGGAGGCAUUUGAAGUUCUUCAGUGCUUCCUUCUAACAUUUCGACAACCUUACUCAUUGAAGGUCGGUUGGUUGGAUGUGUCUGUAUGCACCAAAGAGCCACUAUGAUCAUCUUCUUCGCCAUUUCAUCAUGAAAAACCUCCUUAGAUCCCUCAACCUUACUGUGUUCAAGUCUUUCUACCAUACUUUCUCUUUCAAGGCGACUGUAUAUCCAAUGAGGAAAAUAUAUCUCACUGGUGUUUUCUACAGUUACAUCAAUGUUCUUUCGUCCCCCAAUCAUUUCCAACAUCAUCAUCCCAUAACUAUAAACAUCGGACUUGUGGGACACUCCCCCAAGGACUCUACAACAGACUUCCGGCGCGAUAUAACCCAUAGUCCCUCGAGCUCCAACCAUAGAUAUAACACUUUCUUUUGUUGGACAAAGUUUAGCCAACCCAAAAUCCGAUAUUUUUGGGCAGUAGUCUUCAUCUAGAAGAAUAUUGUGAGGUUUGAUAUCAAAAUGCAAAAUGCGAGUGUUACAACGGCAAUGCAAGUACUCUAAGCCUCUAGCAAUUCCCACUGCAAUGUGGUAAAGUUUUUCCCAGCCCAAAGAAGGAGUACUUCCUGUGCUUGAUGUUUUGUCAUUGUAGAUGAACCUUUCAAGAGACCCGUUUGGCAUAAAUUCAUACACAAGCGCGCGUUUAGUUCCCUCAGUACAAAAACCCAAAAGAGUAACCACAUUAACAUGGUUAGUCCUACCAAUGGUCGCAACUUCAUUGACAAAUUCUUCUCCAUUACCCUUGGAAUUAUUCAACACCUUAACUGCCACCAAACGACCAUCAUCACCAAGCUUUCCUCUAAACACGCAGCCAUAUCCUCCUUCACCUACACUAUCCUUGAAGGAAUUUGUCAUUUUUUUAAUUUCUGAGUAUCUGUAUCUUUGUAGAGAAAGACACCCAUAGCUCUCUAAGAACACCUCCACAUUAGUUGGAUUUUUGAUAUUGUUCUUCCAACGAGAGAUAAAUGAGUAAAAGAUCCUGCUGUAUAUAAGGAGUAAGACUAGAAUUAGUCCUCCCACUCCAGCACAUACACCUAGAUGAAGUAAAUUAAGUAAGUUCACAUCAUACUAGAGAGAUAAUAAAGGGGUCUAAGUAAAAUAAAGAAUGAUUGGCUCACCAAUUAUGGCCAUUAGUCCGGCAGGUAUGCCUGCAAGCAUCAGGUCGUCAUUAGUAACCAUAAACAUAAUCACCAAAAAGAUUAUUGUAUCUUCUCCCAUGUCCCAUGCUCCCCUCCAUAACAUUAUGUUGGAGUUUAGCAUGCAAGUGUUGGUAUAUAAUUUUUACCCCUUUUAACUUGAACGGCAAGUGUACAGUGUCUACCAAAAGGCGUACAAUGGGAUGGUGUGAGUGUGACCCCUCAUACUUACAUAGUUACAUCCUAGAAACUCUGUUCCAAGGCUACACUUACUGAUCAGAGAGUACAGGGGAGGGGACUUCAGCCAGAUUCAAGGUUGUAUCUAUGCAUUAAUGCAUCUACAGACAAUAUAAGACGAUUAGCAAUUUUGGUCCACAAACUUUCACAAAGUUUUCAUUUUGGUCCACAAACUUUCAUUUUGUUUGCAAUUUGGUCUCAAAUGAUUGCAACUUUUAUUUGGUUUAUGACUUGAUUUGAGACCAAAUUGCAAACAAAAUGAAAGUUUGCGGACCAAAUUGACCAAAUGAAACUUUGUGGACCAAAAUGAAAACUUUGUGAAAGUUUGUGGACCAAAAUUGCUAUUUUCUCGAUAAUAUAAUAGAGCUGCAUCUUUAUAUAAGUGAUUAGAACCUGUUAUAAACUCAGAGAAGCCAUGUAUAGAGAAUGGCCGGAACAGGAUGCUCUAUACAUAUAUGUAUGCUGUAAAUUGGGGUGUGUGUGUGUCUAACAGGCGGUUCACAAUAUCUGCAGAGAAAGAACAAUUUUACAGAACACAAUAUAUAUAAUAAACUACUUUUGGUUGGCCAUGCUUUAUGUCAAAAAAUGAACACAAAAAAGUCGGCAAAAUCUUACCUUCUGCUCUGGUUUUGUUUUUCUUUUCAUUGGGCUGUGUACGGUUCUGUGGGCAAGUUCUAUCGAAUAGGUUUGAUAAGUCAGAUCCACAGGCACAUUUAUGAAAACCUUUUGUGGUCUUCCUGUAGCGGCACAUCCCGCCUGAACGCUCGCAGUCCUUACAAUCAUUAGGUGCAGACCAACUUACAUAAAACCCAGAUUUUAAUGCUUGGGUAUACUUACCAAAGAAGCUCAUCCGCACCACUACACUCUCUUCACAAUUUGCAUACCAAUUAAAUCCUGGCAGCUUGUCAUUAGAAUAGAAAUGGUAAGAACGUCCAGGACGGUAGUAAUCAUAGAGACAAGGAACAUACCAUGACUCGGCAUCUUUAGGAUAUAUGCUGCAAUUGUAAAAGACGGUAUGGUUGAAGUUGUUGUCAGAGUAGUGUAAGGAGGGUAUGGACUCCAACGAAACGUUUUGUGUUGGAUGAGGACAUUCUUUUCUAUCUAUAUCUACAUCUGUAAGUUUUUUGGAGUCAUGGUUGAAGUUUUCCACAUAGUAGAGGUGGUUCGAGAUAUUCAUGACCGCUCUAUCAUCUACAUCUCUACAUUUGAUUCCAAAUCCUGGAUAUCCACAGAAAUCAGCCGUUUCAUUGGUGUAGUCAACCCAAAACGGGUACUCAAUUGCAAUCCCGUUACUGCAAUAACUAAGAGAAUUGUGGGAACAAGAAACAGCAGACGUUAUUACAUGUAGUCCCUCAAAGAUGAUCAUGGAUGUGAUCAUGAAUUCAAACAUGACUGCUGAUCGAAAUCUGAAUGACACAGUUACACACACAACACAUUCAUAUUUCUUCUUCUUUCUAACAAAUUAAGACCAACAAAACUAUUGUGUAUUAGUGUGCAGAUAACUAAGUGAACUAGUGAAGUGGUUGUUCUAUAUAGCAGUCAUGGAGACAUGGACUAGUUGAAAGAAAGGACCAAAACGAUAAGUUUCUUGUCUAAAACCAGCAAGUGGAACACCAAACAUUAUUACAAUUGACAAGCAUACCAAACCAUAGUCUUCAAAGCUAUGUCUAUAUAUACAUUAUUAAGUGCAAAGGACUUCACUGUACACCAGACAUUCGAGUGGGAGUUAUCUAUACACGUUGUUCUCAGUCCUAAAUGCCGAUUGCAGAAGUUUAUGAAAUAAUGCAAAAUUAAAGCUACUACUUUAAUUUGUGGACAAACCACAUUAUCUUUGAAAUCCAGUAAGGCAAAAAACUCGAGAAUUAAUUCUAGUGUUCGCGCAAGGUUUUCAGAGAGAAUUAAAUGCUCGCUACCUAACAGGCUUAUCUCAUUCAAUACACAAUUAUAGUGAAUGAUAAGUGUUGUCUCUGGUACAUGUUUGAAUACAGUAGUACAACAACUUCUAGGAUCUAGAGGAAAAAGUUGCCGAUGAAGAAAGAUGUAAGGAAGGAUUUGGAGGCAUUUGAAGUUCUUCAUUGCUUCCUUCUAACAUUUCAACUACCUUAGUCAUUGAAGGUCGAUUGGUUGGAUGUGUUUGUAUGCACCAAAGAGCCACUAUGAUCAUUUUUUUCGCAGUUUCGACCAUAAAAGUCUCUUCAGAAUCUUCUGCUGUGAUGACUUUGGGUCCUUCUACGUUAAAAUCCUGCAUAAGAUGAUUAUAUAUCCAAUGGGGAAAAUAAAUCUCGCUAGUGUUUUUCACUGUUACAUCAAAGUUUUUCCUUCCUCCGAUCAUUUCUAAUACCAUCAUACCAUAACUAUAGACAUCCGAUUUGUGAGAGACACCUCCGAGAUUUCUGAAACAGAUUUCAGGUGCAAUAUAACCCAUAGUCCCUCGAGCCCCAACCAUAGAGACAAUGCUUUCUUUGGUUGGACAAAGUUUAGCUAGCCCAAAGUCAGAGAUCUUUGGGCAAAAGUCUUUGUCUAAAAGGAUAUUGUGAGGUUUAAUGUCAAAGUGCAGAAUACGAGUGUUACAACGACAAUGCAAGUAUUCCAACCCUCUAGCAAUUCCAAGUGCUAUUUGGUAAAGAUUAUCCCAUCCCAAAGUAGUAGUACUGGUACCUGGCGUCUUAUCGCUGUAGAUGAACCUUUCAAGAGAGCCAUUCGGCAUAAAUUCAUACACCAAUGCUCGUUUGGUUCCUUCAGUACAAAAGCCCAGGAGGCUAACCACAUUAACAUGGUUCGUCCUACCAAUUGUAGCGACUUCGUUGAUAAACUCUUCCCCAUCACCCUUGGGUUCCUUCAAUACCUUAACCGCCACCAAAUGACCAUCAUCACUAAGAGUCCCUUUGAACACACAGCCAUAUCCUCCUUGGCCCAAUGUAUCCUUGAAGAAAUUGGUCAUUUUCUUAAUAUCGGAGUAUUUGUAUCUUUGUAGUGCAGGACCCCCAUAGCUCUCUAAGAGCACUUCCACAUUCGUAGCGAUUUUGGCUUUAUUCUUCCAACCAGAAAUAGUUGAGCAGUAAAAGGAAUAUAAUGUUCUUCCAUAGACAAGGAGUAAGAUUAGAAAUAUUCCCACAAUUCCAAUAGAUACACCUAUAAACAGAGGAAGGAUAUUAAGUUCACAAAGCAGAAUACGUAUUAAAGAGUUCCAGUUUAGGAGUUUAAGUACUCAGCAUAUUCGUAAUUGGCUUACCGAUUAUGAUCUUCAGUCCAGUAGCCAUGCCUGCAAGCAUGAGGUUGUCAGUAUUAAUACAUACACAUAUACACACAUUUGGAAUGGAACAAGACAGAAAACUGUAAAGAGAAUUUUACCUGGUUGUGAUAUUUUUUUGUUAGAGGGACAAGUAGUAUUAUAUAGGUUUGAGAAGUCGGAGCCGCAGGCACAUUUAUGAUAACUCCCAUCUGUUGUGUUGUUAUUCUGGUAAGUGCACAAUCCACCUGAACGCUCGCAAUCCUCACAUUCAUUAUUAGUAGGUGCAGACCAAAGUAGAUCAAACCCGAACUUUGCUGAUCUAGUGAAGUUAAAAGCAUGAUAAAUGCUUAAUGGUGCCAAUACAGUCUCCUCACAAUUUCCAUACCAAUCAAAUGUUUUUGGAAUGUAUUCUUUGUAAGGGAAAGCAUAUGAACGGCGUCCAGUAGUCGGUUUAUCUAGACAAGAUAGAUGAUACUGCCCAACAUCUGUAUAAUUAGGGUAGCCGCUGCAAUUAUAGAAAAUGGUCCAGUUAAAGUAGACGUAGUGGACAUAGUCCAGCAAUGGUGUGGAUUCCAGUGAGACAUUUCGUCGUGGAUGAGGACAUUCUUGUCGAUCGACAUCCACAUCCACCAGUCUAAGUAUCUUGGUGUCGUAGGUAAUGUUUUGCACAUUGUAAACAUGGUUGGACAUAUUCAUGAACGGUUUUCCAUCUUCAUCUCCACAUUUUAUCUCUAAUUCUGGAUACCCACAGUAACUGAUGUCGCUGCUGUUUUCCUGAUUUUGGUACCAAAACGGAUAACGAAUUUGGACCUCAUUGCCAUUAGGGCAUCUGUAGUAAUCAUUUCCACCAUAGUAACAAGAAGCAGAUGCCACCACAAGAAGGUUGUUAAAGACGAAAAGGUUGAUGAUGACAACAAUGAAAGAUAUGAGCUGAAACAAAUGAAACAUGAUCAAUGAUGACUUGCAAAAUCAUACAAAACUUUAGUUCUUCUACUUCUCUUUCUCUUGAUCAAUAUAUGCAUCAGAAGAAAAGUCCGCUUUAUGACUAUACUUCAACAUUAAUAUGUGGACAGUUUAGGUUCAGCUACUCAUUCAACAUGUGAAUGAAAUGGAAGAAAAAGAAAUGGAGAAAGAUACCACCGUGUGCAUGUGGCACCCAUAACCCACCUCAUUGACUAAUGGAGCCAUUUCAGAAUAAUCAACCUCCAAUGCCGUGAAGAAAUCACUUUGGUUCGCAGCAGCGCUGACGAGCGACUGGCAUGAAAUUCUCAGAAGCAUCUCGCCAGUGCACAUUUGCAUAGAAAAAAAAAUCUUGGAUUGGAGUUUUUGGAUUUCUUUUAUCUUUGAAAAAAAAAUGUCAAUUUUAGAAAAUAAGUAAAUCGUUUUAAAAAUUAAGAGAAAAAAGAGAUAUGUCAUAUGUGAACGUGUUUUCUGUUAAGGGUCAUUGUACAUUUGUACAUGUUAUAUAUGCUCUAUACUGGCUUUAAGUCUUCGACAAAAGAAUUUGUCAAUUUGAGAAAUUUAAUUACUGGUUAAAUUUUUUUAAAAAGUAACACUCAAUGGUAAUAUUAUAAUUUCCAUUAAGAUGACAAUAAGACGGAAAAUUCAAAAGCCACAACCAAUGUAUAUACAUAUAAAACAAGUAGAGCACACAUUGCACGACGGUCACGGUCGGACUCAAUUACAAAGUUCACACAACUUCACAUUUUAAUUUACAGAUCUAACAGUAUACAUAGUUUUUCAGAGAUAUUCAAUAUGGAUAGUUAAAUCAGAGUUCGUGCCUCCGUGGUACAUAUUCAAUUUCAUUAGUAGUAGAGUAACUUUUACGAUGAAGAAGAAGAAGAUAGAGACAGAGGAUCUAAGGAAGGAUUUGGAGGCAUUUGAAGUUCUUCAUUGCUUGCUUCUAACAUUUCAACUACCUUAGUCAUUGAAGGUCGAUUGGCUGGGUGAGUUUGUAUGCACCAAAGAGCCACCAUGAUCAUCUUUUUGGCCGUUGGGUCCUUCAAAAUUUCUCCAACACCCUCUAACUUCAUGAUUUCGGGUCCUUCCACCUUAGAGUCUUGUUUAAGCUGAUUAUAUAUCCAGUGCGGAAAAUAUAUACCACUGAUAUUCUCCACUGUUACAUCAAGAUUCUUUCUACCCCCUAUCAUUUCCAAUACCAUCAUUCCAUAGCUAUAAACGUCCGACUUGUGAGACACACCCCCAAGGUUUCUACAACUGAUUUCAGGUGCAAUAUAACCCAUGGUUCCUCGAGCUCCAACCAUUGAAACUAUGGUUUCUCUUGUUGGACAAAGUUUUGCCAAACCAAAGUCAGAGAUCUUUGGGAAAAAGUCUUGGUCUAAAAGAAUAUUGUGAGGUUUAAUAUCGAAAUGCAAAAUGCGAUUGUUACAACCACAAUGCAAGUAUUCCAACCCUUUAGCAAUUCCAAGUGCAAUUUGGUAAAGCUUUUCCCAACCCAAAUGACUACUUCCAGUGCUUAAUGUCUUCUCAUUAUAGAUGAACCUUUCAAGAGACCCAUUUGGCAUAAAUUCGUACACCAAUGCUCGUUUAUUUCGCUCAAUACAAAAGCCUAGAAGGGUAACCACAUUAACAUGGUUAGUCCUACCAAUGGUAGCAACUUCAUUGAUAAACUCUUCCCCAUUACCCUUAGAUUCAUUCAAUACCUUGACUGCCACCAGACGACCAUCAUUAGGAAGAGUUCCUUUGAACACACUGCCAUAUCCACCUUGGCCUAAUGUACGCUUGAAGGAUUUAGUCAUGGCCACAAUAUCUGAGUAUUUGUAUCUUUGUAGUGCAAGACACCCAUAGCUUUCUAGUAGCACUUCUACAUUUUUGGGGCCUUUUGUUUCGCUUCGCCAACGAGAGAAAAUCAAAUGGUACAAUGAGUGGAAAAUCUUCUUAUAAAGAAGGAAUAAGCUUAGAAGUAAUCCCCCAACUCCAGUUGAUACACCUACAAAGACAGGAUGUAUAUAUAUAUAGUAAGUUCAGAAAUAAAACGUUACAGAGUUGUAGUAAAGACUUAAGAGUUCAAGUAAUGUCUAAGUAUGAGUAGCCUACCAAUUAUGAUCUUCAACCAAAUAGAGAUGGCCUCUGCAUGGAUGACAUUGUCAGGUCAUUAGUAACUAUCAACGUAAUCACAUAAAUUCAUGUAAUCAUUAUGAUGAGAAAAUUAGAUUAGUAACCAUUUACAUUCCCAAGAUAGUGAGCUUAAUUGUGUGUGGCCUAGGAGUGGCAAAUUGGCAAUGAGCCCAGUUUUAUACAAAAUCUAUGCCCAAUUUGGGCAGAUAUUGCAGCUAAGUUUGGUACAAAAGUACAUAGUUAGCUAAAUUGUAAGAUGAAGACAUGUAGUGGCUACAUAUGUGGUAAUUAUAACUUAUAAGUACUAAAUAUAAAUAUAAAAACUCACCAUCUCGACAGAUCAAAGUAUCAUAUGAUAUUAUUCCUCCUAAGUAGCACUCGCAUUGAUAAACCUUUGCGGUCUUAUUUUAGUAACAAUUAUGCAAUGAAGAUUGAAGAGUCACAAUAGUGGCUACUAAUUGAGCAAUGAAAUACCUUGCUAAUACUGAUAUAUACUGUAGAUGAUUACAAGACAUAGCAGCAGUGUAUUAUAUAUGAUAUGAUGAAAAAAUGUUGUCAUUAAAAUGAGCUAGUAAAGUUGUGUGGCUAUGUACUUAUGUGGUAAUUAAUUUCUUUCUUUGAAGUGCUAAAUACAAACUCACCAUCUGGACAGAAUAACCCAUCAUAAGCCAUUCCAAUGUCAGUGUAGCAAGUGCACCUAUAACCCUCUGUGGUACUAUUAUAGUAGCAGAGCCCGCGUGAAUCCUCGCAUUUCUGACAACCAAUAGGCACAGACCAUCUUAGAUCAAACCCGAAUUUGGCUGAUUGAGUGUAAUUAUUUGAAGAUGAUGACAGUGUCACCAGAGUCUCCUCACAUCUAUCGUACCAAUUUGGAAUAGAGAAAUCAUAGGAACUAUUGAAAGCGUAAGAACGUAGUGGUGGUAGAGUAGUAGUAGUGGUGGUGGAAUUAGUGUUGUUCUUGUAGUAAUAAUCUAGACAAGGGAUACGGUUAUCAACAUAUUUAUCAUCAUCAUCACCAUAUCUGCUGCUGCUGCUGCUGCAAUUGUAGAAAAGGGUCCACUUAUCAGAUGGGUAAUCUAACGAUGGUGCGGCUUUCGGUGAGAAUUUUCGUUUUAGAUGAGGACAAUCUUGUCCAUCUACAUCCACGUCCACCAGUUUAAUUGAGUUCAGGCCGUAAUCAAUGUUUAACACAUAGUAGAGGUGGUCGGAGAUAUUCGUGAACGCUCUUCCAUCAUCAUAUCUACAUUUGAUUUCUAAUAAUCCUUGAUACCCACAGUAAUUAAUGAUUUCGCUCGUGUUCCUUGAAUCAGAUAUCUGGUACCAAAACGGGUAACGAAUACGGACCCCAUUACGGCAUGUGUGACCCGAAUAUUGACAACCAGCAGCAGAUGUUAUUACAAGAAGGCUGUUAAAGAUGAAAGAAAAGAUGAUGACAACAACAACAAGGAUAGAGAUGAGUUGAAACAUAAUUGAUGAUCAGAUAUCGAUCGACAAUCGAUCAUACACACGUACUAUUGUAUAAGUGUAUUCUAUUCUAAUUAUUACUCUCUAAAUUAGCUUCUUCUUCUUCUUCUUUAUAAAAUUAAAAUUGAAGUGCAUGUGUUCUAGUCAGUCAUCAGUCUUACCCAAAAAAAAGAAAAUAUAUAGAUCAAAUAAUUUCAUUCAUUCAUUAAUAUGUGGACACCAAUGAAAAUCCGUAAAACUGUCCGCUUCAUUCAACAAAUGGAAGGAACCCUCCUCUCAUCUCUCCUCAUUCACUUUUCAUUAUUGGACUCUGAAAAAUCUUAAUCCAGAAAAGUCAGAUUUCUAGACCUCCAAUCAAUCUAGCUAAUAGCCUUUACCAAAAAAAAUAUCAAUCUAAUAGUCUCAUAAUUAAUCUAAUUACCAUCUUAAUUACUACUUCAAAUGCCUAAUCUCUAACUAAGUAGUAGUAAGGACUAAGGAGACUCAUAAUUAAUCUAAUUACCAUCUUAAUUACUACUUCAAAUGCCUAAUCUCUAACUAAGUAGUAGUAAGGACUAAGGAGAAUUACGUCAUCCGCGUCCUCCCGUAACCAUACACAUAAUUUGCGACACGUGUCUUCUUAAAAACCAAAUCAAUUUAGAAUGGGCAAAAGAUGGGCUAGGCUUACUAAUUCAUCUUUUUUUUUUUCCUUAAAUUCAAAUUUUAUUGAUAAGCUCAACGAAUUACACAAAAGUAGAGGUGCGCGGAUUUAAAACACAACCUAUGCAUAUACCCAGCAUAAUAUUGAGAUAAACACAACCUAUUAAUUCUCUUCUUCUUCUCUUGGACUCUUCCUAUUGAAGAAAAUGGAACCCUCAUUGACUUUAUAUUGACUGACUAUGAACUUCCAAAUAUCUAUCUUCUUAUAGUAAGAAAAAAAAUGGUAACAAUAAGUCAAUAACAACUUAAAGCAAUAACUCACUCAUACUAAUAACUUUCUCAAGAAAACAAAAUCUCCUUUAACUUAUCUACCGUUCUUUUACAUGAGAAAAAACACAUAUAUCAUUAUAAUUACAAUUAAAUUACACCAAGAACUUUUAGCUCAUGUCCCUGGGGAUCCAUGUAUAGAUUUUCCUUUCCUCCAUACGUUCUUGACAUAUCGGGGGAAAACACAUAUCCUCCAUAUGGUUGUGUAAUGGAGAGCAACAGGCAUUAUUUCACAAAAACACAGUACAAAACAUGAAGGAUUCUGCUGACGGUAAUCAACAAGAGCAAUGGAACACUGCAUUGCUAAAACACUUCGUUUUGCUUACAAGUUUUCGGACACCACCCAUGUCAUUUGUAGAAGCUCUCGCAUUGCUUGACAUGUACAUUUUGUCCAUCAUAUUAAUCUUGGGGGCCUCAAGAAUCGCCCUGGGUAAAGACAAUGCCCACUGCAUAGCCCAUAUUGCAAGCGGUCUCAUAUAUAUCAGAGAUCUGUAAUGACCAUCUGUAGUCCAGCCUUCUGGAGUCUGGAACCAAUACCUGCACAUAACAGUAAACUUUACAACUUCCUCAAGCUUUCAACAACAAAAGUUGCAAUUAAGAAAACAAUUCAGCAGUAUUAUAGUAUAUAUGUAUUAGAUAGCAGGCCAGGUCAAAUUUAACGUAAAUGACUAUCAAGGACUAUUGUCCCAAAAGAUUCAACUAAAUCAAGAUUAAGGCGAUUUUCCAACAUUUUUCCAAACAUCCAAAUUUAAGAAGGUAAUAUGUGCCAUCGUUUUUAGCAAAAUGACUACAGUAUAUGCAUAAACAAGGGAAUCCUUACAAAUACAUAAAUAAUGAUGCAGAUUAAAGUGGAAAACUCCUUUUUCCAAGCAUUUCCUGCAAACUGUAACUUAAAAACCAUGUAAUGUACACAUCAGAGAAACAUACCCAUAUCCUUCUUCUGACCAACCAGCAGUGAAAAUACCCUCAGCAGUAGUGAAGGCUUCCUCCUUCAUGUCGGUCAAAAUCAUUGUAGCUGCAACACCAUAGGUGACACCAGUCCAGAUUUCACGCGACUGCAUGCAUGAUUCAUCCACUUUACCAUUGGGAUGCAUUCCAUUUACAGCACCUAUUCUCCCUCCUUUCACUUUCAUAACAUUAAAAUCAUAUAUUUUCUGUAGAGCACUUCUGAUCUUCGAAUCAUCAAAAAGAGAAGGCAAGCCUGACGAUGCUAUAUACCACUGACCAGCUAGUUGAUCAGCUUGUAUCGAUCUACUGUUGCUGCUUGACCCACUAUCAUAGUUAAAAUAAGAUCCAUUCCACAGCUUCUCCUCAAAAACAGGUUUAGCCUUCAAGAACUUGCUUUUACACUUAUCCGCGAAUUGCCUGUCACCAAGUUGGUGAGCCAUUGCAGCUGCGGCUUCAAGAGCAGCAAGCCAAAGGCAUCCACAAUAAGCACUAAUUCCAUGAACUGUCCAUGCAUCGUAUGUUUGAUCUGGGAAUCCAUCGUUCUCAAUAAGGCCAUCACCAUCUUUGUCAAACUGUUCCAUGUACUCGAUUGCAGCACAAACAGCUGGCCACACAUCCACAGCAAAUGACAUGUCUCCGGUCGCAGCAAAGUCUCUAUACACCUGAAGAACAAACUUAGGAUUGAGAUCUUUCCAUCUACUUGUAUCAUGUAUAUUGUAUGCAUUCAUCUCAUGCCAUGGGUCAUGGGUGCCUAGAUCAUGAGGCACAGCACCCCUAACCUUACGAAUUCCCCAAUUACCUUCUGCCAGGAACUUGACUUUCCUUCCAUCCUCAGAUAAGACGGCCUUAGCAAAGUCACGCUGGAUGUUUAGCUCAAUUUUGGGGAACAGAGCUAAAAGAGCAAAAGAUGCAUAGAAAUGCACAUCAUAUGUACACCACAUAAUGUACUCCACCCCUUCAAGAUACAGAAACCUACCAACGUCUUCAUCAUCGCUGUGUGUUCCAGAGGAGGUAACUUGCAUUUCAUUAUUACUUCUUUUAUUAUCCUCCCAAUUCAUUGACUUGUUUCUAUGAAGAGAUCCAUACAUUUUUUCAUCAUCAUCUAUAACGCCAUAUCCACCCGAGAAACCAUUGAUCCUAUCAUGCUCAACAACCACACCGUCUUUCACAUUCACCUUUGGUUCAGUCACUCUAACAUCCAGAUUGUAGUUAUCUUCCUUAUCUGUUAACCUAUUCCGAUUACCAUUUAUAUUUGAUUCAUCAUCUGCAGCUGGUAAAUGGCCAUCUGUCUCAGAAAAUCACAUUAUUUAUGUCAGUAUCUGGUUAAAGCUAAAUCCCAAACCAAACCAACAUAUCUUUCAGAGAAAACCGUUGAAGCUGAGACAUAAAGGUUAAACAAUAUUCAUAUUUGUAUCUUGUUUUUCUCAAGUUUCUUUUGAACUAAAUAAUCAUGUAUAAGAUUGAGUGGUAUCAAUACACAAAAUAAUUGGCGUCAAGAUGAUAAAACCUAAGCCUCGUUUUAUGCAAAGGUUCAUAAGACUGUGUAGUUCAAAUAGACCACGGAUAAAUAGUGUACAUGUUUAGUUUCAAAAAUUAUCAUAAAUAUAAUAAUCAAUAUAGAGAACUACCUAUCCAGACGGUCCCCCCAGCUACUAAAAAGUAAAGCUCAUUAAACAAGGUAAAUUUGUACCUGCAGACAUCGACCACCCAUUAAAGAUUAUACCAUAUACAUUGGAACAGUAUCUUAAGAACAUAAAAGAAAUAUUAAGAUGUGAUAUAUUUAACAUUAAUCAAUUGAAACUCAUUGCAAAAUUAUGGUCAAUACAAUCCAAAGCAAAGUACCAAUUCGCAUCAAACAAAAAAACCGUUCUUGUUAAUAUAGAAGAACAGAUGACCGCAAAUCUCCAACGUGAUUAAAUAGGAAUUCCAGUUGAUCCAGUCAUUGUAUACUUAGUUUGCUUUACAGAUAACCUAUCAAUCUUCCCCCUUGCAUAUAAACAAUAACAACAAAGCUCUGAUGUGUUAAAGUUACCAUUCUGGAAGACUACUAUCUCUGAGAAUUGGGUUUUGCCACUUCUCAAUGUCCUCCUCCCAUCGCUUAUAAUCUGUUGAGAAAUGAAUUUUGAAAUAUCAUAAAUUUACGUUGAAGUUCAUAACAAUUAUAAUUUAUAACCAGUAAACUGGCUAGGCUUUUAGAUAACUGAUUCUAUACAAAGCGCAAACAGAAAUGUUAAUGUCUAAAAAAAUUCUUUGGAGAAAAAGCAAGAUCUAGUAUUUCUUUGGUAAAAAAGACUUGAUGUCUGGUUUCAAUAUACUACAAAAAUGCAAGUAUUCAAGAAAUAACGUACUCAUCAAUCCGUCAUGGACCAAAUUAAGAGCUGAUCUCUCAGAGGUUCCGUAGAAUUUUGUGUACCUCCUGCAACAAAACAAAAGAGAACACAAAUGAAGUUGGAUUGCAUGCAACAACAUGUUGUAUACCAAGCCUUAGAUAAUAAGUCAAGUCAUAUCAGUUCAUUUGAUCUAAACAUUUCUUUCCAUUGAUCUAAACAACCAAAAGUAAACAGCAACUGUAAAUCCAACCUUUCCUUCAACUGAUCUAAACGCCAUAAAUUGUCUAACCUAAUGCAAUUCAUUAUUAAUUAAACAUAAUAUGUGUUGAAUACACUACCAGUUGCAGGUCGAAACUACAGAUUUUUAAAAGGAAAAUAGAGAUUCAAACUUUAAAAUAAAAAAAUUGAAACUAAUUGAUGAUGGUGGGUCGAAAGAUGAAAGAGGGUAGACAGAUAUCAAAUGAUAUCCUAGAGAUACAGAAGUCAUUGUCAUCCCACUAAGAUGUAUUUCAUUGUUAAUAAUAAUUAUUCACUCGUGAUAUUAUAAUCCGGAGGAUAAAACAUUGUAUUAAGCACGUGAGAAGGUUUCGUUGCAGCACCAUACAUAUAGAUAAAAAUAUAUCGAUCGAUACCUUUUUACCAUGCAUAAGUAAAUUGUACCUUCAGUUUUUAAAAGUUCUAUUGUUCACCAUAUUUCCAACAGUUACAACAAAAGCCGCACAAGUUAAUAACUAAUUACCUGUUAUAGGAACUCCCCUUUGAGAAUUUUAUUUUAGGGGAUGACCAAGCUAAAGAAAAAGCAAUGGUACACUUUCCAUGAGCUUCUACCCAUGUAGAGGCUGAAACAGCUGCACAAAGUGUAUCUCCAGGCGAUGUUGGUAUGCUAGGGCCAGCGUUAAAGUUCUCCCGGUCAAAAUGGCCAUCCUAAACAUUGGAACACAUAUGAGCCAAAAUGUUAUUGAAAUAAGAAAAAAAAAAAGCACCAAUACUAAGUGAAGUUUUAAGAUGAAAAACUAACAAAGAAUCUUCAUGUAGACUUUGUCCAAACAGCAUAUUUUUGGAUUGUCAAUAUAUACACCACGGUGCCACAAAAUAACUAGCAAAGUCCAACUGUUAAAUGCCCUUACCUGUGCCAUAGUGCCCCACAUGUCCUUCGCCGUAAUACGACUUUGUUCGCUCAACCCAAAACAUGGCAAAACAGUAACAUUUACAUUCUGAGUUUCGCACGCAGCAAUAGCAAAUGUAACAGGAGGGUUGUCUUUCGGGGUCCUGCACAAUUAUCAUAGUCAGGAUAGCUCGCAUGAAUCAUAAAGAGUAGUUCUGUAUAAGAAAGUAAAACUGAUUCACAAUAAAAACACCGUCAUCGAAGGCAAUGUUAAUCAGAAAAAGUAAACAAGGAUUCUGAAUCCCCCUAAAAUUUGUAUAACGGUGCACAAUCGAUCAGGCUCCAAAACAUAAAUGAAGGAGACAUGCAAAACAUCAAGUAUAAAAAAGACAGUGUCUUGAGUUGUCAUAAGUAGGUGAUGAAAUGGCCAUCAUCACAAGAGAUAACCUAAGGGAUAUCUGCUAACCAACCAGCAUACAAGAACAAUCAAGGGUUGGCAACUUGCUUGUGAUGUAGAAGCACACCAGAUACUCCAUCUUCGCCUCUAUCAUAUAACAUAUAAACAAAAAAUAGAAAAAUGAAAUCAGUUUCAAAAUAAUAAUAGAGUUACCAAUUAGAAUGGAUCAAAAGUAACAUAUACUAACAUGAAUGGUUCGUUAUAGUGGUCUCCAGAAAAAUGUGAGAUCCCUCCAAUUGAGUUCUGUAAACAUGAAAAACUUAAUAGAUAAAGUUUCUAGAAUUUUUUGAUUAGCGGCAUUUCAUAAGAGAAAAAAGGUAUAAAGACAAAGUUUUACUUACAGCCCAGGUGAGGAGAAGACUGACUUUUGCUCUUUCUUUUCCAGUGUUCACCAGCUACAAUGGAACAGAAGGACAUGAGCACAUACACUAAGUUCAAUCCGAUGUACACACGGGAAACAACAGAACAAAUAGAAGCAAAAACGAGCACAAUACAAAAUUCCCAUCCUUGUCAAAGACAUGGUUUUAAACAAAACUAUCCGAUUCUUACUUGAGAUAGAGGGAUUAUUUACUUCACAUUUCCUACAUGUCCUGACAAACAUCUAUCACUCUGAGUCUCUGAGCUCACAAAAGAUACUAAGUAAAAGGCAAGUUAGUGGUUCCUCUACAAUAUUUCAGUAAUUUGUAAUACCCUCUCUCUUGUGGAUUUAGUGUUGCCCCCUUGACCAUGAAUCAACUAAUGAGUAUCGACUGAGGUUCAGGUGACCAACUCGAAACACAUCAGUAUCCUUAAAGUUACUCAUUGACCUAUACCAAUUCUCUAUUUUAUGAGAAAAAGAGUGUAUUUGCUGCUCCUGCAUUAACAAUCAUGGAAUAUUCUCUUCAUUAUUUGAUAAAAUUAAGUCUCAACCAAUCACUGAUAGAGUGAUAGAUUUGCUCAGCUUCACCGACAGAUAGGGCGUUUGAAAACUAGUUAUGGAGGCAUGUCAAUUUCAAUACCUUAUCGCAAACAUAAAAUAACAGAAACAACUUAAUACAACAUACUGUGUAAACAAAUACAGCUGAAGGGAGACUGCUUUCUCGAUAGUUAUGAGGUAUGAACGGUGAUAUUUGACGACAAGAAACCUUCAAUUCUGGGUCAGGUUCACCUGGAGAUAAGAUUUCAACCAAGAAAUAAUCAUUGUGUAAUUGAGGUAAUAAAGGAGUGAAGCCAUUUUAAAAUGACAAAAUCAUCACAAUUUCUAUAUUUUCAAACAGUACCGUCAUAUAUUGUCCACGCCCUCGGGAAUAGGGCAUGGUAUGUAGAAUGCUGACCACUCAAAUUCCAGCCCCAUGAAGAUAUACCUUGACCGUCAGAUUUGCUGGAGAACAAGAUCAAAUCUUACACACUAAUAUAAACUAGAGAAGUUUUGCGCAUGAUACACAUUAUAGCAGCUCUUGAAGAAGGAAAUACUUCAUGACAUCUUGAGAAUCAGCCAUAAACAAAUCCAGCCAAAGAAAGGCAAAACAUAUAAACAACUCACUAUUUUAUUUAAUGAAAAUGAUGAUAAAAUAAUAACAGUAAACAAAAAAAAAUGAACAAAGAAGAAUCUCAGUUCUUGAGACUAAUUGAUCUUGAUUUCCCUGUCAAAGAUCAAUUAGUCUCUUAAUUAAAGCUUGGAAUAGAUGCUUGCACCUUUCAUUGUUAUGAACUCUCUUAAUUAACAAAAGUAUAAUUUUGAAUUCCAACAAAAUACACAAUAAUGAAGAGGUUCUGAAAGUCAAAAAAACAGGUCAACCACACAAGAUUGAGUAGUUGUAUUGUUGCUUAUGUUAUUAUAUCAGUCUUGAGUGAGAACUCCAUAAAUAAAUAAAAAAUGGAACAUAUAUAUAUCAUCCAAAUAUUUCUCUUACCCUAAACCUUCGUGUAGGCCUGGAGCUAAAACUGAUGCAUACUUUUUAUUUCCUUGAUCUCUAGAAAUGAAAAUCUGCAGUGCAAAAUCGAUUUAGAUUAGCAACAAUAGACUUAGAAGAUGUGAAUAGUAUUGUCAGGUCAAAAUUUUCUUCAAGAGUCUAUCCAAAUCAACGUUCAUGUUUUUAUUCACAUGCAUACAGAAGUUAACUUGCUUGGAAGAAAACCAAAAGGAUUUGACACGAAACGACAAAUAAAAAUAUAGAUAGAAGUUUACAGAAAAUUGAUUAGCCAAGAUGGGAGAAGCUUCGCAUAAACCAGGGACAAUUUGGAAGUGUCUGAAUUCUCCUCUAAAACCUCUUGAUAUGCUACCACUCCUGUGUAUGUAAAGAGAAAUUUAUGUCAUUAAAAGUAAAUUUUGUGGUAUACAAAGAAGUGAUCAACCCACUACGUACCCCAUUCCUCCAAGUGGGACUCCUUGUGAUGCGGAGGGUUUACAGCUUUCUCGGGUAAAUGGAUCAAUAGGUGCUUUCUGCAAAACAUGGACCCUCACAUUGGCAACAAUGAACUAAAAACUCAAGUCAAGAGACAAUACCUGUACAGGUUUUACGCACAUCCUACUUCAAGAAGCAAAAUUGUCUCAACAAUAUAACAAUGGUGUAUAUAUGAACUUACCCUUCCCUGAGAUGCUUCUUCCCUGACAUAAGACCAGAGUCGAACACCAAGCCGUAACUAAAAUUUAAUAUUGCAAAAAAAUACAGAACAAUAUUAAUAAAGAUACACAUCAUAUAUCUUAUCACGAAUGCUUGUUUCUUGACCAAGUAAAUCAUUUCAAAGGAAAAAAAAAACUGCUUUACCAUCUUCAUUGCCUCCAUAAAUGUGACACUAAAUUCCUUUAGUAAAUUAGCAUGACUAUUCAAUCUCCUCCUCCAGGCUUGCUCUGGUGGGGCAGCACUGUCGAAAUCCAACUAGGAGCAUAUUGAAUAAAUAUAUCAGUGCAAAUGAAAUUGAACCACAAAAAUAAAAUAGAAAUAACGUUGGUGAAAUAUUUACAAAGAUUGUUAAUCACUAAAGUUUAGGUAUAGCUCUACUAACAAUUCUAUUGUUUUUAAUGGACACAAACAGUAUAUAAAAGUGUACUGCAUUUGUCAUAAAAUCGCAAAAAAAAAAAAAGAAAAAAAACGCUAAAACACAUAACAAACAAGAAAGAAAAGAUAAAUUGUAGAAUGAGUGAAGAAAAAGUUUCUCACCAACUGCAAAGUAGCCUUGCUUAUGUACUCUUCCGACGGCCAUGAAUGUUUUCUACAGUGGAAAAUGUUCCCGCUAACCAUAUCGAUCAUUGAAAAUUACUUGUAAUAAGUUUGUUAAUUUUCUAAUGAAUCUCAAUCUCUUAUGCUAAUAAAUCAUCAAUUAAAGUUCUUAAACUACCAAAAACACUUAAAAAUUUCAUUAUAAUUCACUACAAAACUUCCUUUAAUUCGCUCCAAACUCUAUAAACUACACAUCAAUUUAGAAGAUCAAUUCAGUUAAACAAACUGAUCAAACUAUUCUUUUGAAUCGAUCGAAUCUGAAAUCGAAGUGUUUUAGAAGUAAUUUCGAAUCAAAUUUUAGGGGAAAGAAAGAAAGAAAGAAGUUGAAGAAUCGAAUUCGAUCGAAAACGAGAGAGAGAGAGAUUGCGUGGCAAGUAGUGGAUCUGCCGCCUGUACAGCAAAGCAAAAGAAAAGAUGGUGGAGCAGACACGACACGACAAAGUAUUUGUUCUUGUUACGACUUUUACGACUUACAAUACCGAAACUCAUUAAUGAGUUCGUAAAUAAUUCGUCGGUUGAUUAAUAAAAGUCGUUGUUGGCAGUCAGUCAAACUUACGACCGUUGUUUAUUCUUUCACAGUUCACACGACUUUUAAACGGUUUUUUUUUCCCUCCGCGUGUUAAAUAUCACACAGGACCAAAAUGGUUUCUACUUUUCUAGAAGGAAAUACUGCAGUAGACAUCUUAUCUUACUACAUAUUAAAGAGGCUUGGCAGACUUAGAACAGUAAACUAAUGUCACUUACGGUUAGUUUUUUUGUCUAUUUUUAACAGAUAUAUAACCCUGAAAAAUAGGUUUUUUAUGAGUAAUUCUACACUCACACCCUAUUUCCACAUAAAACUCCCACACCUGACGUGGCAGUUGAGGUGGUUUGGUACACAUCAGCAUGGAAGAGUUUUGAAGAGAAAGAAGAGAAAAGAUAAUCUAUCCGAGUACAACUCUUCUCCAUCUUCUCUCUUGUUGCUCUGUUUUACCUUUCAAAUAAAACAAAAAAAGAAAAAAAAAAAUCAAAUAGUCGGUCACAAAAAAAUCAAAUAGUCGGUCACAACUGACUUUCACCUUUAUUGAAAAGGUUUUCCUCUUCCAAAACGUUUGCCACUCUUGCUUGUCAUCGUAGAAGGUUCAGAAUUCAAAUAGAAUACCAACUAAAUAUUUUCCCAUCUUCUUCAUUUUCUAGGGUUUUAAAAUUUGAUCUCAAAAAAACCUUCAGGUAAAAGCAACGAUCAAAACUUUCAAUUUUUUAAAUUUUUUUUUUUUUUUUUUGUAUAAUAUUGAAUUUUUAUCAAUAAACAGAAACACUGCAAGUUCACCGAUCAUAUAACUCAGUUUUAUCUUAAAGGGUUUUAAUGUUAAUCUAAUAAAUUUUUAAUAUUUUGAGUCUCCUAUAUUUUAAUUAUUUGUUAAAUUUUUAUGUUACAUUUUCAUUGUCUAAUUAAGUUUUUUUCAUGGAAAAAGACACCUUAAAAUCUGAUGAUUCUAAUGAAGAAGACAAAAAGGUUGAUGAAGAUAUAGAGAAUGAGACUGUGUUAGAAGAAGAGCCGCGAAUUAAGUUGGAAGUGUACGCUGAUGUGUACAAACCACCUCAGCUGCCACGUCAAGUUGUGGGAGUUUUAUGUGGAAAUAGGGUGUGAGUAUAGAAUUACUCGUUUUUUAUAUAGGUAUACUACUAAUUUAAAAUAAUUUAAUAUUUGUUUAUAGCUAUCAAGCUAUGUAAUCUAAUGUGCUGGCUAGAGUUGAGCCACAAAAUCUAAAACUUUUUUUUUUUUUUUAAAAAAAAAUAAAAAAUAAAACACAAAUUUUAUUGAUAAGCUAAACGAAUUACACAAAAGUAGAGGACAAACACGCUACAAACUGCACGAUAAGUCCUUUCUGGAUAGCAAACCCGAUUCUCCUAAAUACAUAUUCGUUUUCUGAAUAGCUCAACAAAUUACACAAAAUAGAGGACAAACGCGUUACAAACUGCGCAACAUUUUUUUUUUUUUUUUUUUUGAUUGGCAAGCAGGGUUGAGGGGACCCUUACCCCUUUAAAUUACGUGUGGAAACUUAUAUCAACAAUCAGCUGUUGACGUGUUUCGAACCCACAACCUCUCCACUUUGUGAGAGGGGUGCUACCAUUGAGCCACAGGCUCAUUCGCUAAAUGGUUUGGUAAACCUGUUUUUAAUGAGAUCAGUAGCUCGGUAAUACUGGCGGGAUUCGAACCCCAGGCCUCUGGUAUCAUCACCCAGAGGUUUUACCAGUUGAGCCCAACUGACAUCUGCAAAAAACUUUGUGGACAAACUGAUGCAAGAAAGUUAGACUUGGACCUACUAAUAUUAUUUUGUUAUUUUACUCUUUUACUUUAAAAGUCGCUCUAUAAAAAAAAUAAAAAUAAAAAAUAAAUAAUGCACCAAUCUCUAAAUUAGUUAUACCAAUCUCUAAAUUAAUUUCUUAAACUUUAUUUUUUUAUUAUUAUGUAUUAUUUAUUAUAAUUUUGUUGGCAAAAAUUAAAAUAAAAUAAAUUAACGAAUAAACACUACUAAAAAUGGAUUUUGAUAAUUUUAUAUUAUUAAAAGUUAAAUUUUGAUAAUUUAAAUCUAUAUAAAUAAUUUAAUGAGUAAUUUGGUCAUCUCACUAUAAAUAUAAAAUAAAAUAAAAUAAAUUAUCUACCUUAAACAACAAAUCCAUCUAUACAAAAAAUUUAUCUAUACAAUACAUGCAUCCAAUGGAUGUGCAUUCCACUUGUAAUGGCCAAAGAGAAAAAGAUGCAUGAACACACUAUUAAAAACUUAUGCGUUGGUUAAUCUCCUAUUCAAAGAAAACAAUAAAAUGAAGCAUUUUGUAAAGUGCAUCCAGUCAUCCAGGUCCCUCUUAAAGAUCUAUAUUUACAAAUCUCGAGGAUGUGGGAUAAUGUUACUUCUCGAGAUCAAACACAAGUAGAUCUGGUGGUAUGGGUACCAUAGAUCUGCUGGGACAACUUAAUUAAAGAACAAACAAGUAUCAUCCACGUGUCGAGAUUAGAAUGGUCGGUAACUUCUAGAAGUCUAUCGAAGAAGUCAACUUUCCAAGUUCCACGAAUAAAAAUAGAACUAGAAGUAGGAGAAUAGAAUCUCUAAAAAUUCCUAUAAAUCUGGAACAAAAUCUCCUUUUCUCUUUUGUUAUUUCAGUUCGUCGUCCUUUACACAGUUAAUAAAAAUUUCAUCUUUCUCGCUUCAGCAAUUUCUUUUAAGGUAAUACCAUCUUUCCACCCAAUUUUUUCUUGUAAUUUUUCUAAAGUUUUGAUCUUGAAGAUAAAUUUCUUGCUUAAAACCAUUAUAAUUAUGGAAAUUAGGGUAUUUUAUCACAUUCACAAUUGUUAAAGAGAGAUUUAUAUUGAAUCUAUACCUAUUUAAGUCAAAGAUCCAAUUGUUCAAUUUAUUAGCAAUUUUACUUCUGGAAUUUGCAUUGUUUGUGUGACUGAUUGAUGUUUAAUGUGGAAUUUGCAGGGAUUGAUAUAGCAAUUUAUAACAAGUGUUUUUGGAUUUCCAGCUGUUAGAGAUGGCAGAGGUACAUAGUGUUCGUUUGCAUUUGUUUUAGUUCUCUAUGGGUAUUUAAUUGAUGUAUAUAUUGGGUAAUAUUUGUUUGUUAAACUUUAUUAUAGGAUGGUCACAAGGUGUCGUUGAAUGUGUAUGAUUUGAGUCAAGGACUUGCUCGUCAGUUAUCUACGACAUUUUUAGGGAAAACUAUUGAAGGAAUAUGGUAUGCAUUUUCCCCUCCUUAGUAAUUAGUAUAGUACAUUGAGAUUUUUCCUUUCAUGCCAGAAUUUUAUCAUUAUUAUGGUAAAUAGUGGUGCGUGACGAGAUAUAACUAUUCCCUCCCGUUACAACUAUUCUUCAAUUAAAACAAUGACUGCCAAAAAUUGUAAGAAUAGCUAUUGUAUUAGACUAUUAGGUUAAGAAACAUGGAAAGCCAAAAGAUUCAUAGUUAUUUUGCAUAAGAGAUGUUGAGUAGUUUGCAAUUGUCUGCUUUAUUCACAUUUGAUAUGUGGAAUUUUUGGGUUGUAAAUAUCACUUAUCAUUACCAUGACGUAGAAGAAGUUCUUAACCAUCAAAUAUUUAUCAGAUCUUUUGUAUUUUCAUCUCACUUCUAGCCACUCGUUACUGCUUACAAUUGCAAUGUUAUUUUACAAUAAAAAGUUGUGAUUUUUUUCCUCUCAGAAUAGUUUCUUAUUUUAGUUGGACAAAUUCCUUAGAUGAGCACGAAGCAAUCUUAUCUAGCAAGCAUUAGCUUCUAACCAACUUGGAACCACAUUCUAAAUCAAGUGCCAAAUUGUUAAAUCACGGCCCACUAAUUUAGUGAUUCUUCAAUUAUUCUAAAAUUUCGUAUGAAUAAUAUCUGAAGUUUAGUCCAAUUUUUACGUUCUUUUAGUCUACAUGGAAUGCCAAAACAAAAUUCCUGGUUUUUUUUUACUAAAAACAAAAUUCCUGGUUAUUUUCAACACGUGAGAGAUGUCAAGUCAUUUUGAUUUGGUAGCGUUUUUCUUAGUUUUGAUUAUAUUUGAUAUACCUAUGUAUAUUUCUCUUAGAAUGUGUUAAUAUUGAAACAGGCACACCGGUGUAGUGGUGUAUGGGAAUGAGUACUACUUCGGUGGAGGCAUUCAACAUGCCCCUAUUGGGACAACUCCAUAUGGAAACCCAAUCCGAUCAGUAGAUCUGGGUUUCACUCAUGUACCAAAGGAACUUUUUGAAGAGUAUUUGCAGGAGAUCAGCCCUCGAUAUACUGCUGAGACCUAUAACUUGCUCAAGCAUAACUGCAAUAAUUUUAGCAAUGAAGUAGCUCAGUUUCUAGUUGGCACUGACAUUCCAGAUUAUAUUCUGCAGCUUCCUAAUGAAGUCCUCAACAGCCCUAUGGGUCCUCUGAUAUGUGAGUUUUAAUCUCUCUACACUUUUUAGUUAGAUUCCAUUCAUGGUUUCUCUGGAAUGAAUUUUUGGAAAUAGUGUAUUCUUGUGAUUUUAGUACAUGAGUAACAUUUGUUGAAACAACACAUACUAGCUGAGCUUCCAUUUACUUUGCUUUAAGAGACAGACGACAGUAGGCCAGAAUGUGAAAUGAUUGUGUGCUUAAAAGAGGUGACAAAUUUUUGGCCUAUGUGGUGUGAAUCGUGGAAAAUGUAGAUUGACCACUGUUCAUCUGCUUCAUUGGGAUGAUAGCGAAGGAUGUGUGGCAUUGAAUGAGAGUGCAUUUCUCUCGUUGUUAGACUUCGCCUAGUUAACAACCAUAGCUCACUUUAAUCGCAAUGACCUUGCUAUCUGACCGUCUUGUUUGGGGUGAUUACAUAGUUUAGCUUUUUCUGGGAGGUAUUUUGCAAUUGGCAGUGAUUUGAAAUAAUGUGAUUAAGCAACUUGUUGUUUGUUUUGUUCUUGAGAUGUCAUUGCUUUGCGGACAAAAUAGGCUGUAGAGACUUAUAGUUAAAAUGAAGUUCUUUUAUAGGAUUUAUUGGUUAUAAAAUUUCAACAUUGGUCCUAAUCAAUUUUUGUGUCGUAAUUAUGGUACAGUACCUAUGAUUCAACAGUUGGAAACGACUUUGAGGUCAGGCGCAGUUCCUCAAGCUCCUCAGUUCAGGCCUACUUCCUUGACCCAGCCUCCUCCAUUCAUGUCGACCACUGUCAAUGUAAAUAGUGACAAAGCUACCAGCAAUUCUAACACAACAUCGUCCAGGGAAACACAAGUCAGCAGUGAUUCUGUUGAUAAAAAGGCAACUGCUACUAAAUCCACAGAAGGGACACCAAAGAAAGUGGUUGCUGGAGACCCCCUUGGGAAUGCAAGGUCCAAAAUUCAGGAGGAGAUUGGUCGUGAGUUUGCUGCAAUUAUGGCGAGCGGAACAGUAAGAGCAAGUGAGGCAGCAACCAUGGCUACCAGGAAAGUAAUGGAAAGAUAUGGACAGUUAAACGGAGCCGUGAAGCAGAAUUAGAGGUUUAGAAGAAACUAGAAAAAUCCCCCACUUAUUCAUGAACAAUGGAUACAUUUGUCUCUAUUUUUUAAACAGUAGACUUUAAAAUCUACAAGGGGUUGGUUACAGAAAUGGCAAUAGAUUUUGUUGUCAUCGUAACCCUUAAUUGUUUCUUAAGAAAUUUGAAAUUUGAUCAUUUGGUGUGACCAUGUACUAGCAAAUGCACUUAUUUAUAUAAUUAUUUUUUUUUACUCCUGACAACUCCCUUAUUUCUCUUCUCUCAAUCUUCUCUAUACCUAGAAAGAGAAUGACAUAUGCAUUAUGGUGGAUGGAUGGAUCUUUCUACCAUAUGCAAACUGCCUAAUGAUAGAAUGACAUUUUUCAUGUCUAAUGUGAAAUUUCCAUAGCAUUAUGGUGGAUGGAUCAAAGUACAAUCUGUAAAGAUUAUCAGGGACUCUGGCAUAAAGCUUGUUCACACAACUGUCCCUCUUUGCCUCACCCACAAAACUGAACAGUCACAGACCUUUCGCAUGGUUUCUUGGGCAAAAUACUCCCUACAAGGCACAAACUACAGAAGACAUUGGAUCCAAACAUUACCCAUGGUUUCUAUUUCAAUUGUUGAUUAGUUCAAAUCUUUUAAAUCACCAAGUUUGUGAUGUGGGUGAUAUUGUAAUCCUGAUUCCUGAGACUACAAGGGUUCAAUCAUAUGGAUUAUCACAGGAUCAGAGAUCAUAUGGCACGUUCAACAUGUGCAACUCCUUAACCAAAUGUAAUCCAAAUUCCAGUCUUGAAAUCAAUACAUACAUGUAUCCCCUUAAAAGAAUGAAAGAAGCCGCGUUGCAGUAAAUAUAUGUGGUUGCAGAGAUGUAGAAACCAUUCAAUGAGACCAUGUUCCCUAGAGUUAAUUCACUAAAAUUUUCAACUUCAACGCUAGACUUCAUGCAAUUGGUUGAAAUUAAGCAGAUACAGUUGACUGCUCCUCCCCUCACUGCUUAUUAGCUGAGCUGUAGAUAGUUAGCUCUUCUUGAAAAUUAGUGUCACUCAAAGUUGAAAUUUUGUGUUUGUGAACAAGUUGACAGUUGGAAUUUAAAUCAUACUUACACCAUAGUAGUAGAUUAAAGGUGAGUCUAAAGUCUAAACCAAGUUCUUAAGCAAUAAAUCAAGAGCAAUUAAACAUAAACAUGUAAAAGUUGGUUUUAAUAACACUAAAGCAUGCCUUGCUACUGGUUAUGAUUACUUAGUAAUUACUGUUAAAAGAACUAAAAAAGCCAGAAAAAUGAUAAAAUUGUAGGGUGUUAUACAGAACUUUCAAUCACCAUACAAUUUUGUCAGCAUGAUUUUAUUACUUCACUAGGGAAAAUAAUUGCUUCUGUGAAAAAGAAAAUGUUACGAUUGAAGCUAGCCAGAUAAUUUAUCUGUGCCGCCAAUGACCAUAAGGGGUGGCCCUAGCCAACCAUGCCUUGCCUCCACCCCUGCAGUCUGCAGAUGAAGAAGUUACAUUAGAAAAUGUGUUUAGUGAACUAUUUAUUACUUGUUACUAAUAUUCUUCAUUCAUAGUAAGAAUGUACAUACAGACACAGUACAACAGAGGAUUAAGAUUUGUAAUUAGAAAUCAUCUUAGUACUCAUGUUGUGAUAUUAAUCAAAUGGUAAAAGUUAAACUACUCUUUGAUCACCAUGUAAACCAGUUGACUCUCAAUUCAUUAUAAUUAAUAAUUUGGCAGAUUAAAAGAGGUUGCAUUAACUCUAGAUUGGUAGAUGCAUGGUGGAGCCAGUGCAGUAAAAGAAGAAGCUUCUCUGCUUUUGUAAAGCUAUAUAUAGAGAGUUUGUACGACAAUGUGANNNNNNNNNNNNNNNNNNNNNNNNNNNNNNNNNNNNNNNNNNNNNNNNNNNNNNNNNNNNNNNNNNNNNNNNNNNNNNNNNNNNNNNNNNNNNNNNNNNNNNNNNNNNNNNNNNNNNNNNNNNNNNNNNNNNNNNNNNNNNNNNNNNNNNNNNNNNNNNNNNNNNNNNNNNNNNNNNNNNNNNNNNNNNNNNNNNNNNNNNNNNNNNNNNNNNNNNNNNNNNNNNNNNNNNNNNNNNNNNNNNNNNNNNNNNNNNNNNNNNNNNNNNNNNNNNNNNNNNNNNNNNNNNNNNNNNNNNNNNNNNNNNNNNNNNNNNNNNNNNNNNNNNNNNNNNNNNNNNNNNNNNNNNNNNNNNNNNNNNNNNNNNNNNNNNNNNNNNNNNNNNNNNNNNNNNNNNNNNNNNNNNNNNNNNNNNNNNNNNNNNNNNNNNNNNNNNNNNNNNNNNNNNNNNNNNNNNNNNNNNNNNNNNNNNNNNNNNNNNNNNNNNNNNNNNNNNNNNNNNNNNNNNNNNNNNNNNNNNNNNNNNNNNNNNNNNNNNNNNNNNNNNNNNNNNNNNNNNNNNNNNNNNNNNNNNNNNNNNNNNNNNNNNNNNNNNNNNNNNNNNNNNNNNNNNNNNNNNNNNNNNNNNNNNNNNNNNNNNNNNNNNNNNNNNNNNNNNNNNNNNNNNNNNNNNNNNNNNNNNNNNNNNNNNNNNNNNNNNNNNNNNNNNNNNNNNNNNNNNNNNNNNNNNNNNNNNNNNNNNNNNNNNNNNNNNNNNNNNNNNNNNNNNNNNNNNNNNNNNNNNNNNNNNNNNNNNNNNNNNNNNNNNNNNNNNNNNNNNNNNNNNNNNNNNNNNNNNNNNNNNNNNNNNNNNNNNNNNNNNNNNNNNNNNNNNNNNNNNNNNNNNNNNNNNNNNNNNNNNNNNNNNNNNNNNNNNNNNNNNNNNNNNNNNNNNNNNNNNNNNNNNNNNNNNNNNNNNNNNNNNNNNNNNNNNNNNNNNNNNNNNNNNNNNNNNNNNNNNNNNNNNNNNNNNNNNNNNNNNNNNNNNNNNNNNNNNNNNNNNNNNNNNNNNNNNNNNNNNNNNNNNNNNNNNNNNNNNNNNNNNNNNNNNNNNNNNNNNNNNNNNNNNNNNNNNNNNNNNNNNNNNNNNNNNNNNNNNNNNNNNNNNNNNNNNNNNNNNNNNNNNNNNNNNNNNNNNNNNNNNNNNNNNNNNNNNNNNNNNNNNNNNNNNNNNNNNNNNNNNNNNNNNNNNNNNNNNNNNNNNNNNNNNNNNNNNNNNNNNNNNNNNNNNNNNNNNNNNNNNNNNNNNNNNNNNNNNNNNNNNNNNNNNNNNNNNNNNNNNNNNNNNNNNNNNNNNNNNNNNNNNNNNNNNNNNNNNNNNNNNNNNNNNNNNNNNNNNNNNNNNNNNNNNNNNNNNNNNNNNNNNNNNNNNNNNNNNNNNNNNNNNNNNNNNNNNNNNNNNNNNNNNNNNNNNNNNNNNNNNNNNNNNNNNNNNNNNNNNNNNNNNNNNNNNNNNNNNNNNNNNNNNNNNNNNNNNNNNNNNNNNNNNNNNNNNNNNNNNNNNNNNNNNNNNNNNNNNNNNNNNNNNNNNNNNNNNNNNNNNNNNNNNNNNNNNNNNNNNNNNNNNNNNNNNNNNNNNNNNNNNNNNNNNNNNNNNNNNNNNNNNNNNNNNNNNNNNNNNNNNNNNNNNNNNNNNNNNNNNNNNNNNNNNNNNNNNNNNNNNNNNNNNNNNNNNNNNNNNNNNNNNNNNNNNNNNNNNNNNNNNNNNNNNNNNNNNNNNNNNNNNNNNNNNNNNNNNNNNNNNNNNNNNNNNNNNNNNNNNNNNNNNNNNNNNNNNNNNNNNNNNNNNNNNNNNNNNNNNNNNNNNNNNNNNNNNNNNNNNNNNNNNNNNNNNNNNNNNNNNNNNNNNNNNNNNNNNNNNNNNNNNNNNNNNNNNNNNNNNNNNNNNNNNNNNNNNNNNNNNNNNNNNNNNNNNNNNNNNNNNNNNNNNNNNNNNNNNNNNNNNNNNNNNNNNNNNNNNNNNNNNNNNACAUGGACCAUCAGCAUAGUUUCAAUCUUCAACCAUGAAAAACAAGCACAUGUUACUAUGUUAGUACAGCGGUAGGUUCUAGCAUUAACUCUUCUUAAAGGCAACGUGUUCUUUGGACUCCAGUACUAUAGUAAAAGAACAGUCUGAAAAUUUUAAUCUGUGGUUCUGAAUUAUCUUAAAAACUUCAGAAAAAGCCUGCUAAAAUUUCUUUUAUUUGAAACUUCAUGAUUUAUAUAGAUUUUUGUUCUUCAUAAAUUUGAAUUUCUUAUGCCAAGAAUUUACAAGAGAAUUACUAAUAAACAAUUCCCAAGUAAUUUUGUUUCACGACAACCAAACAAAAGGAUGAAAUUUGCCUUGAGACUGUGAGUAUCAAGUAUCAAUUGUCUAUCUAUCUCCUUCUUUUUUGUCUUCAGGUUUGAUAGUCAUAAAUGACACCAGUACUGUAUCCAACAAUUGGACAAACAGAGGAAAGAGAGUCAACAAGACAUCAAUGAAUAGGAUAUACUGUCUAUUAGCUGAUUCUAAUUGGUGGUGACAAAGACAAUACAGUACAGUUUUAUGCCUGGUGCACUGGUUAAGUUAUCGAGUCUGCCUUUUGCUUCAGUUUAAGUUAUACAUCAAAAUGUCAUUGGUUUAAAUUUCAUCCUUCAGCUUAGAUCUAUUGGCAAGUCGGCGAUGAAAAGAUGCAAAUACUAAACCAACUCACUCAAUCCUAUAUAAUGACAAAAGGAUCACAGUUAAAAAAACUGAACAAGGUGCCAAUACCGUAUAAAAGUUCAUUUAGAAAUUUAUCAAAAGGAAAACUACAUUCAUUCUUUUCUCAUUAGUAGAGGCAAGUAGCGAAAAGGGAGGAAACAAAACUUAAUCAUUAAGACAAAUUAGAACAUUCAACACCUUACGUACCUAUUAUUUCUCUGUUUUCUUCUUUUUCCUUUAGCAUGAACAAGCUGGAAGUACACCGCUGGCUCAGUGGCUUAAGAAGGCCCAAAGUUGAAAAUGCAAGUAUCAUCCUUCCAACCAGAAAGUAACUCUGUAGGAGCAGUAAAACCUUGCACCCAUUAGAGAUGACCAAAUCAAUAGCAUGAUCAGCGGGCAAACUACUUGUUCAAAGCCUAUGCAGGUGUACUCUCCGUUUAACCAGAAAAAAAAAAUGUAAUCCUCAGUUCCUCACAACUUGUCGACCUAAAUCAAAGCUGGUGGUGGAAGAAGAUGGAGUCUACUGUGAGAAAUCAUUUUCAAUUUCCAACAGAACAUGAAAACCCAAGCUUGACAGUCAGUGUCUUGAUAUGUGAAACUGAAGCUUCAAGUAUUCUAUGCGUCAAUGUCCAGGCUCCUCAUUUUAUUAAGUAGCCUUAAAUGCUCCAAUGAGAAUAUGAGAUCCAGGAGGGUGCAGUCUGCUUCUUAUGUAGUGCUUAUAGAACAUCUCAAUGGACCUCAGCUGUUUGUCAUUCAAAUUGGCUCCUCAGGCACAAUAAACAAUUUUCGACAAUCAACUCUUAUGGAUGAUCCUAUUUUCGUGACUAUCUAACUGUACUAUCGCUGUAUAUUUUUGGGGGUUAUCACGCCAGCGAUGAGUUGAGUAACAAUGGCUGCUAUACAUAAACGUUGAUAACCCCACUGUGUAUGUAUACAUUCUUAUGAAGAUCUAAACAUAUUCAAGCAGCAACUAAUAUGACAAUAUCAUGAAUACCACCCGAUACCGUGAGUAACCUAGAAGCCACUGCAGGUCUACUACCUUCUAAUUCUGUCAAUCUGCAAGUACUGGAACAGAGCUAAGGAAUACACCUGAAUAGACCUAAAAAACUUUCCCCAGAUUGAAAUGCACGGUAAUAGGCUUUAUCAAUGGUAUACUAAGAGAUAGAAGCAGCAUCUCGACCGAUGGGUAUGGUAUGAUCUUUGUUUUCUAAAACCACAUUAACAUCUGCUCCAUCUGGGCUUACAUCCUUUGAAGUGCAACAAAUGUCAGAGGGAAUGUUGAUGCCAGCAAACCCGACCAUGACAGCUGCCGCUCCAACGUAAUCCAUGAGAUGAGGGGCAUGGCCUAUUACUGAAUCUACAACAGCUGCCAAUGGAACCUGAAUUGUGAGGCCAGCUGUAGCAACGGUAGUGCUCGUUAGAAGAACAGCCUUCGCCCACAAAUAGUCGCUAAGAACAUUAUCAAGAAGUCCUGAACAGAAAGAUUAAAAAAUGUUGCUAGUGUAAACAAUUAUAUCUAGAAAAAUAGAAUCACUCCACAGAAAGCGAAAAGAAAUAAUGAUCAUAAAUAUGGUCCCGAUUCAAUAUAAUAUGAAACAAACAAGAGCAGAUGUAUCAGGCGACAAACUUUAGUUAUUACUUAUGCAUUUGAAUUCACCAAGGACUCACAAACUAUCUUCUACUAAACAAUUAUGUGCCACUAUGUAAGGGAAACUACGUAAUUAUUCAUCCCCUGCAAGAAUUAUUCUGGAUACAUGAUAUGGUAAUAAUUAGACGUAAGGAAAAAAAAAACAUUUUGCACUGGACCACAUCUAUUUUAUCUUUUGGUAAAUGAAAAUGUUAAUACACGUUGUAUGACGCCUAAAUAUAUACAGGGACGAUAUGUAAAUUACAUCUCACAGUCCACCUAGGCAACAAAAUGGAGAGGGGAGGGGAGGGGGCAUGUGCACCUAUCAUAGUUAGCCUUAUAAAAAAUGUCCAAUUUCUUCCUGCCUAAAGAAAUGACAGUCCUGUCCCGUGUUCAAAAAAUGAUUAUAACACAAACAUAAGACAAUCAGGGAUGGCAACUUUGAAUGUGAUUUGUUAGUGUAUAACCGAAAACCUUUCAAGUUCAUGGGCUCCUAUCCAUGAGAAAUAUCAUGAACUUAAAGCUUCUGUAUAGGAACUUGCCUGGGGAAUACAACCUUCUGCUAAACAUAAUCUUUUCAACGGAAUAAUAUAUCAGUUUUCUAGAAUUUGUAAUAUCUAUAUGCAGGAACGAUAUACUGGUGAUGCACGUAAAAGCUACGUUGUAAUUGAAUUAUAAUCAGAUGUUCAAGACAACAAACGAACCUUUACCAAUGACGAGACCAAGCUGCUUCCAGUUGAGUGUACGAAAAGGUUCCAACUUUGUAACAUUUAGAACGAGAGCGACAGGUAGAAAAAUCAAUAGGUUGAACAGCCCAAGAAAGCCAAGGAACUGUGCCAUACUGGCCCUCCCAACUUUAUCAUCUUCAUCUGGUAACUUUUUCCGAAUAAGAGUAAUGUAAAUAGCAUAAAAGGCCGCGGAAACAAGAGACAGAAUGUCUCCAAGAACAGGAUUUGUAGCAACAGCACUUAAGCCGGACUCUGAAUCACCCAAGCUGACUAUGAUUGUUCCUCCCAUGCAGAGAAGAACACUGAUUAGCUUAACCCAAGUAAAACUCUCCCCCAAGAAAAUUAAGGACAGGAAAAAGGUAAACAGGCUAGAGGAAGUGCUUAAGAUGGUAUUUGACUGCAAACAGAUAUAAAAUUCAUUACAAACCAAAAUAUAAAAAUCUGCAAACAAUGAGUAAAAACUAAUGAAAUGAACAAGAUUUCAAGAUGCUUACUGUCACGGUAGUGUACUUGAGAGAAAGAUUGAAAGACAGUUGUGCAAGAAACCAGAAGGGACAAAUCAAUAAGCUAACUUUAGCUGUUCUGGUACGUGUCCAACGCCCUUUAGAAUCCAAUUGAUUAUUAACAGCUUCCACAACCUUGACUCUUUCUGGCAAUGGUACUCCAUCAAUUUCACUAAGCAAUGUACUUCCAGACUCGUAUAAUUCAAAUUCUGUCUUCUGCGUUAUUUCUCCUUGUUCAAUCGAUCCAGACGGAAGAGAAGCUUCUAUUUUUGCAAUUAAAUCAUUCUCACCAAGAAGAACAACUUCCUCUGAAUUAUCUAAUUUUUCCAAAUAGCUAUCACUCUUAUUCCCACGCCAAAACCGUAAACCCCCAAAUGUAUCCUCUACAUAACGCGCAAUUUCAACUAAGGGAAGAUAAACCACAAACAAAGAAUUGCAAAUGUAUGUGAUAAGAAAUGGCGAAACACCUGAAUCAACCACAGACUGAACAACAAAACUAGCAGCUAUCCAAAUUAUAGCAACAGCAAGUAUAUAUGACAAUCCUAAACCCCAUCUCCAUACUUUACUAGUCAUAUCUUUUCAACCUACCAAUCCUAAAAAAUUCCACCAAACUUACAUAUCAAAACUUCACAAUCUAUAGAAAAAAACCUCUACCCAUUGUGAAAUAUGUUGAAUUGGUCAAAACCCAUUACUCCUUCACCAAUAUUAUGAACAAAUUAAUACUUACAAAUUACAACUAGAGAAACAAAGAACAUACAUAUGAAUCAAAUAACACAUUCGAAACAAUGAAUCUGAGAAGUAAACAUUCAUGAAUUGAUGAUUAAAUUGAAAUUUAGAACCUUGGGUCUUGAUAAUCUCUCGUUAUUUGUUCGAAAUUAGAGAUCUGGUAAUUGAUUAAGGUGUUCAUGAAAAGAUGGAAGAGAGAUUAGAGCGAGAUUUAGUUGCAGAACAGAACAGAACAGCAGAAGAGAGGAACAGAGAAAAUGGAUUUCUCCGUAGACUCAUGAUGGGCCGAUAAUCAAAGCCCAAUUAAAAGCCCAACCUGUCACAAAAAGCAAACAACAUUCACUUGAGCUGUGAAGUGUGAACCAAAGAUUGACAGAUAGUUUUCUUCUUGAAAAAGAAACAAAAAAAAAAACUUGUUGGUUUUCUUUUAAAUUUAAAAAGAAAUUAUCUCGAAUUGGAAAAUUUUGAAUUCUCAUCAAUAACUAUAUCUAUGGACGAAAAGAAAUCAUCUAAUAGCGAUUCUUAUGAUCGAGAUCUUCUUAGUUUAUUAAAUUCUAAUGUUGUUGAUGAUGAUGUUGAACCAAUUGAUGAAGCAUUUCGAUGUUGUGUUUGCUUGUAAGAUUUUUUUCUAUUUUUUUUUUUCAAUUUUAUCUGAAUUUUAAAUUGAUAUUGAUUUCGUUUGUUGAAUAUCUGUAAGUUGAUUUGUUUGUUUGUUUUUAGGGUUUAAGAAGGAUUUUUUUUUUUUUUAAAUUAAGGUUUUAAUUAGGUUUUGGAAACUGUUGAAUUGGUUUAUGAUUUGAUGAAUUUGGAUAAAUUACGAUGAAUGUGUUGUUAAAUGCAUAGUGAAUUAGUGGUGGUUAAUUUGGGAUAAUUCAAGCUAUAUAUACAAUGUUACCUGUUUACUAUGGUUGAUAAUGUAUUUAUUUUCUGGAAGAAAAAUGUUGCCUCAUAAGUAAAACUCUUAAACAACUGCUUUAAUUAGGUAUCGGAAACAGUCAAAUUGGUUUAUGAUUUAAUGAUUUGGGAGAAAAUAGGACAAAAUGUGUUGAAAGUCACUUUGAUGAUUAAAUUGGGUUAAAUCUAGUUAUAAAUCACUUUAGGUGAAAAACUACCUUUCUUUGAUAAAGUAUUUAUUUUCUGGAAAGAAUGUAUUGCCCCAUUAGUUAAACUUUUAAAGAACUGUCUUAUUUAUCUCUACGUGUAGCGUGAAGGAUUUAAUUCGGCGUGGAUUUUCUGAUAUGUCCAUGAUGGAAAACCCCAGAAACCUUUUGUUCAAGUGUUUGUCAUUUAAACAGUGAAAAUGAGCAAUAUCUUUUAGCUAUUUGAACUAAUGGAUUUGUUUUGAUCACAAAUUGAAUCAGUUUCCUGAAUUGUGGAAGUUUGUUCCAUAAACGCUUUUUUAUUUCUUUGGUUUCCUUUAAGUUUGUCAAUGUAUGCCUGGCUAAUAGAAUUUUUUAUUGAUUUUCAGGGAUCUUCUCUACAAGCCAAUUGUACUUGGUAAGUAGAUGUUGCAAAUCUUAAGAAGCCUGAAGUGAAGCUAUUGAUGAGUUAACAUUCUUUCUUUCUCUUGCAGGUUGUGGCCACAUUUCUUGUUUUUGGUGUGUCCACGGAGCAAUGAGCUGGGUUUCAGAAUCUUAUUGUCCUAUAUGUAGGUGCCCGUAUAAUCAUUUUCCUGCUAUAUGUGAAUUGCUUCACUUUGUGCUCUUGAAAAUGUACCCACUGGCCUACAAGACUAGGGAAAGACAAGUGCUAGGUGAGAUUCUGCAUUUAUUUGUGUUUCAUUAUUCUUUUGUAUACUACUAUACUUGUAUCAGUAAUGACAGGCUUUAACAUUUUAGGAUCUUUUGCAACCAUGAAUAAAGUGAGUUAUUGGCACACAGAAUGAGAAACACAAAUGAGCAAAUUGGUUUCUCAUGUUUGUUUGUCUUGAACAGUAAUUUUCAUCCCCUCUUCGUCUUCUCCAUCCCUCUGCUUGCUGCAAAAAGUCAUGACUCACGAGUCACGAGUGAUUGCACUAUGUGCACUUUUCUAGUUAGUAGUUAUGUGUUGUUGUAAGUUGCUCAUGCCUUUUCUCCCUUGCAUAAGUUUGUUGUACAAAUAAUGUGGAGGUUUCAUUAAUUUUCACUAUUGUUGUACGCUUGUGCUUGAUCACCUGUUCUUUAUCUUAAGAAAGCAUGUUUUGUAGCCUUGCAAACAAUUUAUUAUUAUGCUAAAGUAAUAUCUUUGAGUAUAUUGCAGUGCUUAUCUACAUAUUCUAGUUGCGUCAAUGUAUAUAGCUAAAGAUUAAGAUUAUGUUUUGAUGUCUUUGCCUUCUACAGAAGAAGAAAAAAAGCGAGGUUGCUUCUCACCUCAGCUUGAUGACAAUAUAUCCAGCUCACCUUGUACAUCAUCCACCAUGUGUUCCCCUGUGGAGGAUGUGGCACAGGAGAAGAUCAAGCCCUUGAGUAUAGUGGAGCAGCGAAGUCACCAAGGAGGAACUCAUGUUGUUUUGGAAACGACAAGAACUUUAGCUGCUGAAGGAAAUAACCUUUUAGAUAGUAAUUUUAAAAAUGGAACUUGUGAGCUACUUUCAGUUGAAGAUGUGUUGUGUUUUGCUUGCAAGCAACUGCUCUAUAAACCCGCUGUUCUUAAUUGUGGCCAUGGUAAGCACUCAUAAGUGAACAAAUCAUAAUGCUUAUUAGCAGAUCUUUUAUUUGGAGUUGAAUCAAAUGACCCUCUCUUUUUCUGCAGUGUAUUGUCUAUCUUGUAUAUCCUCCCCCACACAUGAAGCGGUUAAAUGUCAACUUUGUCAAAGACUACAUCCUAAAGGGUUUCUGAAUGUUUGUCUUGAGCUUGAUCAUUUAUUGGAGAAAAAAUUUCCCAAAGAGUAUGCACUGCGAAGAGAGACUGUUCAGCAUCAACCCAUAAAUAGCCAACAAGGCAAUCCAUCUGCUGGUAUGUUUCAACUGCUUCAAGGUUACUGUUGUAGUGAUAUGUAUAUCUUCAUUUGAAUUACAUAAAUACAUAUAUACACACGUACACAUAUUAGUGCACCACAACCAAAGGAAAAUUUCUGUAAGGUUUUGAUUAUUUGACUAUCCUGCUAGAGAGAUUUAUAAUUAAAUUUUUGUGGAAAGGGAAAAAAAAAAAUCAAAUUUGUGCAUUUCAACUUGCUAGUUUCAUUUAUGAGGGAAGAUUUGUACUUUCAGGUGUGGGAGAAGAUGGAAAGCAGUCUCCUCAGACUUGCAGUAACAUGUCUUGGUUAGGUGAUCGUGGUGUGAUUGUACAUUAUGGCGCUGGUUGCGAUUUUUGUGGGGUAGUUUCUUUCUUGACCUUUGUUUUCAGAUUGACACCCUUAUUUAUAUUAGAGUGUUGGUUAAUUAUUAAGUACAGUUCCUGGUUCCUUGUUUUGAGUAUCAAGCUGCCAAAGGUCAUUUUUACAGAAAUAGUUAAGUAUGUUCAUAUUGGAAAAGUGCCUUGUGUAUCUUCUGUGGUCAUUGGAAAAGUGCCUUGUGUAUCUUCUGACCACAGGGUACAUGCUAAAUGUCAUUAAUGCUAUUUAAAAACAUUUGUAGUUUUAUGCUUGCUUAAAAUGAAAUGUAUACUGUUUUUAUCCUCAACAUAAUCUUUUUGGCUGCCGCAUCCCUAAUUCUCUUUGAAGCAUAUUGGAUGAGCUAAAUUAUUGUUAAAUUAAAUAGGAUGACAUGGAAUAGUGUCUUUCUCAUGGUUUUACCGCUUACCCCCUAAACCAAACUUUGCAGAUAUGUCCAAUAGUUGGAGAGAGAUACAGAUGCAUAGACUGUGUGGAGGAAAUAGGUUUUGAUUUGUGUGAAGAGUGCUACAAUACUCGAUCCAAGCUCCCUGGUCGAUUCAAUCAGCAACACACACCAGAGCAUAAGUUUGAGCUUGUUAGGCCCAACCCGAUGCGUAGUUUACUGAUUAGAUGGGUGUCUGAACACUCUGAAGACAGUUCUGUUCCCGUUCACUCUGAUGAUGCUUCAGAGGACCCAGAAGGGGAGGUUCCUUUGCAAGCACUCCCUGAUGAGGCUCCUGUGGAUCAAGAAGAAGAGACUCAUUUUACCAUCUGAAUUGUAAGUUAAAAAUUAAAAUGGUUGUGAAAGUUUGAUGAGAUUUUUUGUAAUUGUUUUUAUUUGUCAUUUCUUACUGAGUCCAGUCUGUUUGUUUACUUUGGUCCAGUAUUUCAAAGGUCCUGGUCUUCUGUUCGUUGUUUCAUUGCAUUCUGAGCUUGUGAGUAGUUUUUACGCAUUUCAUAUGCCUCUGUUUGUGAGAAUGUGUGCGCUCGUGUGUAUUGAAUAGCAUGUCCCUUGUUCCAAUAUGCCCAAUAAAAUGAAUCAUGAAUGCUUCAUGGUUGCUUUUUCAGAUCUUUUAUUCUUUAUUUUUCUUCAUCAAACUAUAAUUUUUUACAAGGGAAAGAAGCAAGGGUCUUAAUAUUAAAUACUCUGUAUCCUUGCAAGGAUACUAUGCGCGACACAAUAAGAGUAGUUAAGAUUAGUGGGGGAAUACAGAAAGAAAAUGGAAAUACUUGUAUCAAGUCCUGAAUGAUUAUUGAUAGUCUCAUUUAGUGGGGAAGGCUAGAGUCCUAAAAUAGGCAUCAAUGGGAGUUCUUAAUGAAGAAUUGCAGAUGAGUUCUGCCAAUUGUCAAACUACAUCGCAAAAUGAGUUUGGCAGAGGUGAGCAUGUGGAGUCAGAGAUUAGUGGUACAAUGUAUGAUCAGGAGUUCGGAAUAAAUUAAUGAGUAUAAACGGGUGUGUUGUUAGAAAAUACACCAGCGAGAUUGCUCAUGCUCAUAAUCUAUAUCUGAUUCAUCCAAACUUUACCCCAUAAAGAUUACGUACUUAGUUGACCUCAGAUACCCAAGAAAUGAUUUACUGACUUUCUUCUCUUCUGACGUGAAGUAUAUCAGAUGAAUCUUCUUUUGUUUUGCAUGGAUUGAGUUUCAGAUGAUGGUUAGCAUCAUCUGCACUUAGUCUGUUUAAAGUGCUAAAACCAUAUCAAAUUCAAAUUCUUAGGAGCAAACUCUUGGGUUUUACAUUGCUGGCAUGUUGAGGCCUAUCCGCGGAUCCGCCUAUGGGAUCCGCGCUUAAUAAUGAGUUUAAUCUACUCUGCUAUAAAGGAAUGUGCUUUCUGUAUCUUUUUUUCUUUUUUUUUUUUUUGCAAAAAUCCAAUUGCCCCUUAAUACCUCCCCAAGAGGUUUAAUAUUAAGUUGAAGGGCCAUAGUUUGAGAUAACAAGCUCAAACACAAUGUUAGGCGCCUUGUAAGUUGUGACUUGUUAUUUUGGAGAGAUUGGGAUAGUGGCUGAGAUUAGUGUUGGGUUAAAUUAAGAAUGCUUGGGUCAUAUCUAGCUUACUUUUUUCAGUUCAAUACUGUAUAUGAAAUGCCAUUGUACUAAAAUAUGUUUAGUUGGUUUUCUCAAUUUUCUCAUGGUAGUCAUUUUCUUGUCUUAUUCAUGUGCCAUGAAGUAAAUUUUGCCUUUUUGAAUUGACUGUUGGUUGUCCAUGGUAUCUCAGUAAUCAGUCUCUAUUUUCCGAUUUCAUAUAAUGAAUAUACUAGUCCUUAAUAUAUUAAUAUGUGAUGGCGUAGACUUUCUGUGGGAUGCAGCUGAAAGCAGUCUUUUGAGUUGAUUUCUUUUGUUGCAGAAUGACUAAAUAACAGGUUCAAAUCUUUGUGAGAUAGAGAACGAGAUGCAGCUCUAUAGUACAAGCUUGCUGGAAAUGGUAAGAGAAUAGGGUGAUAUAGUACCUUGUAUAUAUAAUUCAGUUUAUAAGUUCACGAGGCAACAAAACCUGUAUGAACUUUCAUUAUUCUGUUUGCCAUAAUAUGAAAAAAAUGGAUAAUUUCUGAGUUGUAUUGCAGAUAAUGCACUUUUUUUUUUUUUUUUUUUUACCUUUUUGAAUUGUUUUCAGAUAUGGAUUGUCUGCUCUGUUUGGUGUGAUGAAUUCCAUAUUUGUUGAAGUGGUAAAAAUCCUUUGAAGAAAUAGUUUUCUUCUCUGUUUGGUUUUGUAUUCUCACUUUUCACCAUUACCAAACAUAGUUAAGGAAAAACACCACUUUUUUUUUUUUUAUAAGUAAAAAUUUAUUAAUGAAAAGAAAAAAGCGGAUUACAAAACAUGAUCAAUCGGCACACUAGAUGUGGCACUAGAUCAACAAUUUAAAGCUACAAGCCUCAAUAUGGAGGACACCAUGUUUUAUGAGGCAACAGUGCCUUUGAUUGCAAUGUUCAGUGCUUCAGUUUAGCUCUCACAAUUUCUAUUCAUGCAUUAAACCUGGCAGUUGAUUUAUUCAUUGAUUAUGUUUUCUCCUUUCUGUGAUUAGUUUUAGUAAAUAAAAAUGAAAUGAUGGAACCCUUUAAUAGUCCGACGUGGCACCCAAUGAUAGUGUUCAUAUGUUCAUGUAAGAAAAGGUCCAAACAGGACAAGCAUUAACUAGGGAAAAAAAAGUCAUCUGAGGAAGUCUAUUGAGGUUUGUGCAGAGUGAUGAUUGGUCGAACCAUCACACGUGGGGUCAUGUAUGUACUACUACCUCUUGACAUAUUAAAAAAAAUCAAGAAAUCGAGGUGAAAAGUCCGGGAGGUGAACCUUUCUUUUGUCUUAAAAUAACAUUUUCUUCAUUAAGAACAAAAACAAUCAAGUCUAUAGGGUUAGGGUUCCUGAAGGUUUCAGAAACUUUCAGUAGAUUCUCAUCUUAAAAGAUGCAAAAAUUAGGGUUUCAAACAGGAAUCUAAUUGCACCUCAGAUGUCUUGUAGUAGUAGUCUACUACUAGUAGUAGAUGAUUGAUAUGAAAUUGAGUAGAUGGAAAUCUGGCAUGACAAUUUAAUCAAUCUCUGGUUCUAAGGAUAUUUCACUUUUUCAGGUUUUAGCUGAUAACAUCAAGAAAAUUCUUUCUUACCACCACACACAAACACAACAAAAUUAGUGCUGCACUUUAAAUUUUGUAGGCCAAGAGGCAAAGUGGAAACAUAUGUUAAACAUAUAUACUUAUGAUAAUUCAGAAUUAAGGUACCACAUUAAUUGAUUUAAGUUCCAUAAUACUUGAUGAAAGGUUGAAACUUGAAACCAUAGACGAAAGAGUAAAAGGUGGUACUGGUCAUACAUAUGUAUUAUUAUAUUAGGUUGUUUCAAAAGAAAAUCAUAUCAGGUUCAACCGUAACAGAAGUUGGUUCUGUGGCUUAAAGUAGUUUGAAAGAAACCAGUGGCGUUUAUGGCGUUUAUGAGGAACUAACCUGACUAAGUAACUAUGGUUGGAUUGGAACUAGAAAAAGCUUUUUGUGAGGUUUAUGAUUUUGAUGAUGGUAUACUGUUGGGAGCACCUUAUCCAAGCUGAAUAUAAAUACAAAUACAGAAACUGAGAAAAAGUUCAGUAUUUUGGCGGGAAAUAGUUGCAAGCAAGAUAAAAAAAUUCGUUUUGCUUCUUUGCUUUGGAGAAAGCAUAUUCCAUUAAGAUUAAGAUUAUGUUUGAGUAAUAUUUUAGUGUUGUUAACAUUUAAACAUCAAAUGCUUGCAACUCAAAAUUUUUUAGAAGGAAUUUCCUUAUAAGUUAUUGUUCGGAAUAAAAAAGGAGAAAGGAGAAAGCUUAAAACAGAAACUUACCAUAAAAUGUAUUUCUUAUUUUUUUAAGAAUUAUUGUUUAAUUUAAUUUGUGUAAUCACCAUCUUUCUACUCUUUGUCGAACGGCUCCUAAUGAUCCAAUUAGACCAAUAAUAACAAGUUCAUAUUCAUUGAAGGGGCAACAACUAGAACCAGUGCUCAAUUAAGCAAAACCCACAAACUUAGCACCAAAAUAAGAUGAAAACAUGUGAAUAUCUAUAUAUAUGUCACUCCCUAAUCCCUAUAACAUAGAGGAUGGUAGGUUUGAUUCCCUAUGAUGAGCUAUAUUUGUUCAAUUUUGGGUCUGAUUCUAGGUAGCUCAGGAACAAUUUCGAAAUCAACCUACUGACAAACCUGAUUUGAAACGAUUCCUUGUCAUAUAGAUUGAACAUUUUUCAUCAACUUUCAGUGCAAAUAAAGCAAACAAGUAGCAGUAUUGAUGAUAGCUUAAUGGUAACUGGUAAGUCAGUAAUAAUAUCAUAGAACGCGGUUAAUAACUUUAUGGUAAAAGGAAAAAAUUGAACGAGAAAUAUAGGGGGCAGUGUCCACUCCACCUGUCCGUCAUGCAAAGGAAUCCAAUGACUUGGUUGUUAAGUCUUGAGUUAUUGUAUAGUAUCGUGAGAAUUUGAGUUAUCUUCUCUUCCCUAUCAAUUCAAUCAAUAUACUGUAUCUUUUUGUACAGUACAACUAGUAGAAAUACAUUUGAAUUUCAAAUAUAUCUUUGGAAUCUUGUUUAAUUAGGUCAUUAAUGAGCAUUUGAUUUAAAUUAUAAAUAUUGUUUCCUAGUUUUAGAGGGUUUCCUUAAUAGAUUCUAUUCAAAUGAUGAAAACAUAAAUAACUUUCCAAAAUAUGAAUUGGGGCAUGGAGCUAAAAAUAUAAAUAGUAAACCACUACUAUGGAAAAUUUUGAGAAAUUUGUUUAAUAGUUUGGUAUCUUCAAUUUUGUUGUGAUUUCUUACGAGGAUGUAUACAAACACAAUAUUGUUGCAUAAUUGUAUUAUGGUCUACAUGUUUAUAGGUAGUGUUAUUUUUUUUUCACAAACCACAAAUGUAUUUGUGUUUUUUAAUGAUUUUACAUAUUUAUUUGUUGUAAUUUGUUGCAGAUGUGAUUACUAUUUUUUUCCUUCUUCCUUAAAUGUAUCUGAUUUGUUUCUAUAGAUUUGUGGGAUCAAUAAAAAUUAGCACGUGUCGACAAAAUUAAUUGGGUAAUUUGUUCGAAUCAGAACUAGAUCAAUACGUGGUAAUGUUUUAUUUAUCUUGGAUUUCAUUAGAUUAAUUUUUUCAAUCACUUUUUUGUUUGGGUUUUUUUUUUUUUUUUUUUUUUUAAAUAAAAACAAAUUUUAUUGAUAAGCUAAACGAAUUACACAAAGUAGAGGACAAACGCGCCACAAACUGCGCGGCAAGUCCUUUCUGGAUAGCAAACCCGAUUCUCCUAAAUACAUAUUCGUUCGAACCCGCAGUCAUCACGUUGCUAUCCAUUACCUUCUGCACUCUCCUGAGGAGCUCAUCUGCUUCUGAACCUAGCAAUCCAAAUGUAUCAAAUGCAAAAUGGAUGAAACUAUGUUAGUUAGCCUUACAAGCUCCGUUAUGUUUCUUCACUUUUGCUGCUGUUGUAUUGCUAGCUGCUAGCCCCACCUCAAAAAUCUCAGCACCCAGCCCAACCAUUGGAGACGCCCCUGUAACAUCAACACACGUAUGUUUACCUUCAGACCAGUUGUAGACCAGAAUAUUAGCAGGACGUAAUGUCGAUCUUCCUUCCUUAGGAUCAGUAAGAAAGUUAUCUCUAACGUGUACUCCAGCUCGCCAGAACACAUCACACAAGAUAUCUCUAACGUGGUCAUGCAUGUACUUGAAGUCGGGGUAAUGCUUACAAUGGGCCGCAUGGUCCCCGAAUGCAUCAAGUCUGCUAUUUUAAAAAAAAAAAUAGCCUUUCAUGAGCAGGUUGACCCAGUUGUUGGGAUAAUUUUUAUAUUUAUGAAUUUUUUGCGAGUAAUAAUACAUGUGUCGACAAAAUUAAUCGAGUGGUACGUUCAAAUAUGAACUAGACCAACACGGGGUAGUGUUUUAUUAUCCCGGAUCCCAUCAGAUUAAAUUUUUCGAUCACUUUCUUGUUUAUUUGUUGGGAUAAUUUUUAUAUUUAUAAUUUUUUGUGAGUAAUAAUACAUAUAUCGACAAAAUUAAUUGGGUAAUUUGUUCAAAUCCGAAUUAGACCAACAUAUGGUAGUGUUUUAUUUAUCCCGAAUCCCACAAACGAUCACUUUCUUGCUUAGUGGUUGCGAUCCCUAAAUUUUAUGAAUUUUUUGCGAGUAAUAUACAACAUUUUAUUAAUAAAAUAAAAUAAAAAUAAUUCCAAUCAACAUCUAUUGUUUCAAAAAUUCCAUAAUUAGCCAUUGGAACAAGGAUUCCAAUUUUUGUAUAAUCAAAAAAAAAAUCUAUUAAGAUAAAUGCAAAUAAACAUAUAUAUAUGAUAUAUCAUCAUCCAAAUGAAGUAUUUACUUAAAUACCUAACUAAAAUAAAUAAAUAAUUUAUCCAAAAUCCCUGAAAAAGAUUUAGAAAAAAAUACCAAAAUCUCACCUUAUACUGUACAUUUAAUUUCUCACCAUGUGAAAAAGGAAAGUACAUAUCUCUCUUAACCCUACUUUUCCUCUUUCUCUUCACAGAGAUACAAAUACCUCUCUCUCUCUCUCUGCCCCUCUUUUCCGUCUCUCUUAACACCCUUCUCUCUCUCUCUCUCUCUCUCUCUCUUUCUCUUUCUCUUUCUCUCUCUCAACCCCCGUUCUGUCUAAUAAGUUCUAACUAACACCCAACAGCCAAAAACCCUUUCUUUCUCUUUCAUUUUCUCUCUCUCUUCCACUUGUAACUCCCUCUCUUUCUUGUUUCUCUCUCUACUUCAAACUCCAUGAAAGUUUAAAUCUUUUUUCUUAGAGAAGAAAAGGGGAUUUUUCAAAAUGGGGAAAUAUAUGAGAAAAGCAAAGAUAACAGGAGAAGUAGCAGUAAUGGAGUUGACUCAAUCAUCAUUAGGUGUUAGAACAAGAGCCAAAACCCUAGCUUUACAAAGACUUCAACAGAAAUCAACACCAACAACUGAUUCUUCUUCUUCUUCUUAUCUUCAACUUCGAAGUAGAAGAUUAGAAAAAAAACCACCUUCUUUACUUGGUAGUAAUAAUACUACUAACAAUGAUUCUAAGAAAAAUCAAGAAACCCCCAAACAAACUUGUAAUCCAAAUACAAAUUCAAACCCUAGUCCUAUUUCUAGAACAAAUUCAAGGUUAGGUGUUGUUGGUUCUGUAAAUUCAGUAUCUGUUGGCUCUGAAGGUGGGGUUUUGGGUAAAGAGAGAGGAAUCAUGGUUGAAAAUGAAGAAAGUUUACCAGAUAACUUUAAUGAUGUUGGUGUUGAAGCUUCUUUUGGGGAAAAUGUUUUGGAUUUUGAAGGAAGAGAAAGGUUUGUGUUUCUAAUUUCUUUCUAGGUUUUUUGAUUUGGGAAUUUUUAUUUUAGGGCUAAAAAAUUGGGUUUUUUUUCCCAAGUCAUUUUUUAGUGAAAUUGAGCUAAAAUUAAUUCUUUCUCUUCAGUUUUGAGAAAUUAAAAUGAAAAAUUUCAUCUUUAGAAAAAGAGUUCUUUUUGAUUGAUUUUUCUCUAACUCUUCAUAAAACCCAAAGUUGUUGUUGUUGUUUUUUUUUUUUUUUACCAAAGGUUGUAACUUUAAAGUAUUUGAUUCUCUAAUUUCUAUUCUGAAAGCAGUCUUUUUCUUAUUGUCCUCUUUACCCACUGGGUUAAUUUUGUGGUUCAUGUUUGGCCUGUUAUUGAAAUGUACACUACAUUUUUUUUUACUUCAGUUAUGUUUAUAUUUGCAUGCUAAAAGGUGACUUCUUUCCUUUUCCAUGAUUGUUUUUAUUGGUACACUUUUCUUGUUUCACCAUUUUCUUUGGGUAUUAAAUCCACAUCAAUGGACACUAACACAAAACAGUUUUGCUUUUCAUGGUAAUGAUUCAUGCAUAUUAGCAUAUAUCAGGGACUUGUUUGGCUGUUUCUAUCACUUACUCUUACAAUGACAUUACAUAGCUUUCCAAACAGGCAGUCUAGACAUGUGUUUUGGAGUUGGGAUUAAGCCUUUUUUUCCUGCACAUGAAAUCUGUUAUUCUUUAAUAACUGAAAUUUUUCAAUAAACCAGUCAUCCCCUUUGAGGGGCUUCUAUUUUGAUGUAUUUGUUUCUUUCCAUUCAAUAUGACGUUAUUGAUUUGUUUAGCACUGUUAAAUGUAUUGUACCUGGAACUUAAUUAUAUUGUCAGGUUGGUGUUUCUGUGCAGGUUGUUUUAAUGCACUUCAAUAGUGUAUAGACAGAAGUAUAAAGAAUUUGUUCAAUAUAUUGAGUCCGUUCUUUAAUUCAUUGAUGCUAUCUUGGCAAUAGUUAAUCAUGGAAUCUUACUCUUAAGUAAGAAAACAAUAAAUGUUCACGGUGAAAUGUUGUUUGUUUUCAUUUUUUUUGUUUUUGUAAUUUGCUGUGUUAGAAAUUGUGAAGCAUCCCUCGUGACUGAUAUGUGCUACCAUUGUGAGGCCCAUAAAGUCGUAUUAUUGGCUACAACUUGUAUGUGGUUAUUGUACAGAUUCUGUUGUCAUCAGUGAAGGACAACAGGAAUUUCAUCUUGAUGUCGGGAAAUCUUCCCACUAAAUGGAGUUUAUGCCUGCUUAAUGCAUUGUCCUUGCAAUGUUUGCCUUAUGUAAAUUUGUUGCUGCUCGGAAUUAUGCUAUAGUAUGUGGUUGGUGAUAGUCGUCUUGUACUAAUAUUAAUAUUGUUCUAAAUUUGUUUUUUGCUUUGUAUUGAUUUUUCAUAUCAUUAAUUUUAUCUUUGAUUUGUUCAUUUAUUUUAAUUGGGGAGAUGUUUUUUAAUGUACAGGAGCACCAGGGAAACUACACCGUGCAGUCUCAUAGGGGGCUCAGAUACUGUAGGCACCCCUGGCUCUACUACCAGACCCACCAAUUCGUAUGCAACUAAUAGGAGAAUACAGAAUGCCGUGCGGAGAAAUAUUCCGACAACACAGGAGAUGGAAGAAUUUUUCGCGGGUGCAGAACAACAACAACAGAGAAUAUUUGCUGAGAAGUAUACAAAAAUCUAUUUGCCUUUCUUUAUAUCGUGAAGUUCUAAAUUACAGAAUAGUUCUAACUUUUAAGCUGUUUUUUUUCUCAACUAAUGUAAAUUUUUUUCUUCAUCCAUAAUAUUUGCAGAUACAACUUUGAUCCUGUCAAUGAUUCACCCCUUCCUGGACGCUAUGAAUGGGAAAGAGUGGAUCCAUAAUUGUGCAGCUUGGUUUCCGCCUGGGAUCUUUUCCUAGAAUGUCUCAAAUGUUUUUCUUGAAGGCUGGCAGGAAAUGGUGACGGUGGAGGCGUGGCAGCUGGCAUGGUGGUUACAUUUCCACCCUUUCUCUGUUGUAAAGAAGUAGGAAAGGGAAUUAGGAAAAAUGUGUAGUCUGCUAAUGGUCUGUAACAUAAACGAGCUUAUGAGUUGCCCAACAACUAAUAUAAUCCGUUGUCUAACAGAUCGUUAUAGAGGGGGAAGGGUAUAAGUUAGGGUUAGACUCUUAUUCAGGUAGGAUAGAUCAACUAGGUGGGGGUAUAGGAAAAUGACCACAUUUUGUUUCUUUUGUUUCUCUUUCUUGUCUAUACUAGGACUGAUGGAACUUGAAAGCUCUUGGAAAUAAACAAGCCCCAUUUCCCCUCUUGUAUUAAAUUGCUUUUUUAAUGGCAGCAUCUCUGGUUUGCCUUGUUCUUUUGCCUGUUUAUUGUAUUAUGAACACUUUCACUUUCUUUGAUUGGACUUCAGAUGUUGAUGCUUAUCUCUACCCAAAUGUAUUGUUGUUUUCUUUUCUCCCUCUAGUUUUAACAUAUUGUGAGAUGGUGGUGGUCUUCUUGUGGGAAGGGUAUGUUGGUGGGUCUCCUUGUGAAGAAAUGUUUUGGAUGGAUUAUUAAGAAUCUUACAGGCACUGUCUGUAUCUUGACAGAUUUUUAGCUUGUGGUGAGGGGCCUCUGAAUCCAAUUCAUUUUGGUUCCCCUGCCACCUUAUUCCAUAUCCCAUGUGAAUGGUGAUGGACUGAUGGAUGUGGCUCUAUUCAGAACUGAUGGAUUGAUUUGUAAGAAUCUACUGGGUAGUUAGGGCAAAUGUAUUUUACAUCACGUGAGGUACUGUACUAUUUGUAUCAAUGAAUUCAUCUGGGUGACAAAAUAAAAAUGAUGGUGUUAAUAUUUUGUACUUGCUCAGAUAUAACCAUUUAUUUAGUUAUGUGCUUAAGUUGUACGUAUGUGAAGGCUCCAACAGAUGUGCAUUUGUAUUGGGAACUUGAAGGUGUGACAUACUGACAUAUAAUAAUGUUCUUUCUGAAAGCAAACAUGGGAGCAUUUAAGCCUUAGGGUUCAAGAAGGUCAUCAAAAUGCUUAGAACGCGACUUGCCUUGAAACACUAUAUUGCGUACUUGCAUUACUUGUUAUGUGUGUUCAUGUUGCACAGGCUUGCAGCAUGUAUUGAAUGUAUCAUGUGUGCGUGUAUUUGAAUCUUCACUGAGAUUUUAUUAUCAAUUCAUGUUGUGAAUAAACUCUACAAGUGAUCCUUGAAGAUGAGUUUGAUAUUCUUUGCUGACUGAUUCUUCAUUUUGAUUUAUGCUUCUAUUAUGGCUUAGUCUAUCCAAUCCAUAAUCCUCCCAAGAUGUAGCUGGCCUGAUUUCCAUGUUAUUGCUAUCAACUUUAUAGGCUCUGGGACUUGAUGAAGGGAACUUCAGAUGAUGCAUUGAUUCUAUUGGUGGCGAAGGGCUAUAAUUUCGGCUGGUUGGAGGAGCUCGAUUGAAUGGUCUGCCCGCGGUGUAGUUAUUUUUUCUUCUGUGUUCUACACGAGGUGAGGUUGGUUCCCCAUGUGGAUAUGCUAAGUCACUUGGCAUAUCUCCUUCUAUUAUCCUCAGAACCUGCACAAUCAGUUCAAUGGAAUUAGAAAAACAUUAGUAAAACAAAACCAUAGAGGCAUCAUUGUGAUUUCAGUACCUUAGACAUCCGGGGUCGUCUCUCUGGGUGAGGUGAUAUACAUAAACUGGCAGCAUGUAGCAUGGCCUCGACUUCCUUGUCAAUGUAAUCACCGUUCAACUUCGGGUCAAUAAUCUCACCCAACAUCUUCUUUUGAAGUAAGGUAUGACACUGUCAUGCGCAAUAAUAUCAGAUGUAAAAGCAUCAGAUGUAAAAGCAUGCUUUUCUGAAACAAUAUUGAGAUAGUGUUUCUAGAAGUAGCAGAAGAAGUACUAACCCAUUCUGGUAGAUAUUGUUGCUCUUCACUUCUAGACAUAUCUGUUGCCUUUAAACCACUUAAGAGUUCUAAUAACACUACUCCAAAUGCAUAUACAUCAGCUUUCUCUGUGAUUAGUCCAGUUUGUGUGUACUCUGGUGCUAGAUACCUGCAAAUAUAUUUCAGAUAUAAGCAACUAAAUCCACAGAUCGAUAAGCUUGAUAUAGUGAGACCAUUCGUAGACUACACUGCAAAAUUUUGAAUGGCGCAAGGCGCAACGUUGUACUCUGUGUUGGAAGGCCUUGGUAUAACAACUUCAGGUGGCAGUGACUUUAGUUUUGAAGGAAGAGGACCAUUUGUCAACCACUCAUGAUAACCUUAGAAAAACUUUUACCUUUUUUUUUUUUAACUGAAGUGGUGCCAAGUCUUUGAGGCAAUUGAGUGAUCAAUGACUCAGAGCAACAUGUUCCCCAUGGAGCACUUUUCGGGACCACUGAGAUAUGAAAUUUGUAAGCAUCCCUUUUGUUCCCUUUCGCACUGAAAAAUUUGCUGACAUGAUCUUUAUAGUUUAGAUUUUGUGUUUCUGACUAAAUAUCACAAGCUGCUGUUCUCUUGCCCAGAUUUCAGCUCAUGAUGAAAAUUUGGAACUUCAAUGGCAAGAGUUAUUGAAGGUAUUUAUGUUCUUUGACUAAAAUCCUUACAAACUCUGGUUCAUAGUAGGAUUUAUGUGAUUUCAGAAUUGGUGGCCUUGCGCAUUUUCUUAGUUUCUACUCGAAAUUUGUAUUUAUUUUGUACGCUUAAUUAUCUAGGUAGUAAUUACUCUAGAAUGUGAACUAACAAUAACAGUAAAAUCUUGAUAACUAUAGACAACUGCUAAGUGCUAACAUUCAAAGAUGAUCAAGUGGAAGAAGAUUUGUUUCUUACCCAAAUGCUCCAAUUACUCGUGUCUCUUCAGCUGAUUGACCGUCUGCUUGCAGUCUCGCCAGACCAAAAUCUCCAACCUACAUACUACAGUUGUCAGAUUUUUGUUUUAAAGAAUAAGCGUUGAGAGGCUAAGAAGAAGUAAUAACUUCAGAAUUGAACUAACCAUGGGCUCAAAAUCAUGUGUCAGGAGAAUGUUCUUAGGCCUCAAGUCUCUAUGUACAAUGCAUCCCACACGACAAUCUUCAUGAAGAUAUCGUAGGCCUCUUGCUGCUCCUAUCGCAACUUUCAUCCUGUUUUUCCAGGUCAUCAACUCAUGUUUCUCUGCAUCUUCAAAAUCUUUGUAUUAAGCUUGCUUGUUAUAUAGUAGAUGAAAAACAAAAAAAUGGCACUUGCAAUAUAAUGUUCAUCUUACUGUAUAAAUGCUUGUCUAAGGAACCGUUGCAUGCAAACUCAUAAACAAGAAGCCAUUCUGGUUCUGUACAGUAGCCAACCAACAUUACCAAAUUCCUAUGUUGUGCACAACUCAACACUUCAACCUCCGCACAAAACUCCGAUGCUCCCUGGGCACUUACUACCUUAUGCUGUUUCACUGCAACAACUUGACCAUCAGGCAUAAUUCCUCUGAAUACAGGACCAUAUCCACCCUCUGCCAAGAAAUUUUCACUUGAGAAUCCUUCUGUUGCUAUUUCGAUUUCUUUGUAACUGAACUUCCUUGGAGGCUUUCCAAAUAUAGGAGCAUUGUAUUUGCACACUGAGCAAAGAGGUGGAGGUGUUGGUGGCUGUUUGAUGGAGAUAGACAUAGCUUUUCUUAUACUUGAAGUUCUGUCGACUGGAGAAGAUGGGCUCAUAGGUCUGUUCCAAUUGGAUUGUUUACUUACUACAAGGUGUUUUGACUGCAUUGAGCUUAAAUUUGCCCGACGAAAUCUUGGUGUGUCUGUCGACCUUCUUGCUGGUAUAAGUGCUUUAGCUUCUUUGUUCAUAUCUGUGCAAUUUAACGAUAAACUCUGUUUAAUGCAUCAUUCUUAUUAAAUUAUGUCUCUCUUUAAAUUUCAAAGUACGGGAAUGUAACACUUACCAGUCUUUAGAAGACCACUGUAGCUUUUGGUUCUGGCCUUCCUAGGACUGGCAGAGGAUUUACUUAGUGUGUCAUCAAUUUCAAAUAUUGAAACCCUGCCCAAUGGUUGUGAUUUAGUAUAAGGAUUUGAAGGAUAUGUUGUAGCCUCAUUCUCCACCUGAUGAACGAAGUGAGAAUAUUGAUGAAGAUAUGUGUUUUUCGACUUAAUAGUGGUGAUCAAGUUGGUAGUUUUAUGGGCAUUUUCUUUGUCUGCACUGGUUAAUGAGCCUGAAUGGUCUGUACGUGGACUUCGAGAAUUGAAUCCAAGGCUACUUGAAGUAAUCAGACUGUUGGAAUCGAGAUUGUAACUUGGGAAAAAACCCAACAUAUCGGCCACUGUUGGAUCAUCGUGGUGCACAGCCACAUUAUUCUUUCUCAUGGAUUGAGAGUUAACUGAUUUUAAGAAUUUUGGAAUGGCAUGGUCUACAAUGACGAUGUUGCAAUUCAGAUUCUUCAAGCACCAGUCACCUUCCUUCUUUAAUGGCCUGAUAUGUGCAGAGAUUUAACAGUUUAGGUUAUCGUGCACAAUUAACAACUGUCGUGUACAUCUACUCAUGUCAAAGUUUGAGGGAACUCUUAUAACAUUAUAAAGGUUCGAGUGUAACUUCGAGUUUCUACCUUAUAAUUAGCACUAAAUUAUCUGUAUCAUACCAACAUACCUAUCAAGAACGACCCAUGUUGCUCCAAGGUCUUCUGCUUUUGUCGCAACAGAGCCAAAAGGUGCAUCACCAACAACAUUUACUUUAGUUUGCACCUGAGAAUGCACCAUUUUAUCACAUCCUUAUUUCAAUACAUCAUAUAACUAGGAAUAGCCUGACAAAAGCACGAUUUUUCAUACCUGCCUGACAUUAUUUGCCACACAUAACCGCCUCAUCAUCUGCACACAGACCUCAGUUAUUCGAUGACAACCGUCCUGACUAAGUCCAUUGACAAGCCCCAUCUCAUCAAGUGGAUCGUCUGUGCUACUACGGAAUUUCUUCACUAGACCUGUGGCAAAAACCCUAUCAAUACAUUAGUCUCAAUAGAAUUCAAUGCAUUUUAAAGAAAAUUUUCUUGUGUGGUUCCUUGCACUUGUGAUGUGCGCAGAUAAAGAUUGCCAUUACAAACAUCACAAUUUAUAAUUAGGCUCCCCAUAAGAAACUACAGCCUACGCAGGGAUUCAAUAUGCAGAUCUCUACUAUAUGUUUAGUUACAGUUUCCCUGUCUAGGUCCUUGGUGUAAUCAUUUUUAUCUUAUAAUUUCAUUGAAGAAAAUACCAUUUGGAAAGAACAAUAUCUGAACAGAGAACAGCGAAAACUCUAGUUUAACAAGGAAUCAUUGUUGUAAAGUGUAAAACAAUCUUGUCCAAGUGCUUUUUGUGUAGCAGUUUGAAUAUUAACACUGAUUUAAAAGGGAAAAAAGUUAAUAGAGUUUUACAUGCAAGAAACUGUUGAAAUCCAGAGGAGUGUUUAGCUCGAUUCACCGAAGGUGGAGGAUGACUAUUAGAAGGAAGAAUAGCAAGGAAGAUUAAAGAAUCUGUUGCCUCGAUCACAUUCCGCACUGCCCAUUCAAGAGCAUAAUCUGUUAUCUCUUUACUUGCAUCAACUGCAACCAAUACUACUUCACCACCCAUUCCACUGCCAGUUUUGCUGAAACUAUAAACAAAAUAUAACUCCAAACCCAAAAAAUAAGUAUAUCUAUGAACUCAAAAAGCUAAAAGCCUUUAGAAACCAAUGAAUCAAGAAGGAUUAAUGUUUAGAUGUUUGAAUGAAUCACAAGUGUUAAAAAAGACUACUGAAUGUGAUGUAAAGAAAGUAUGGAAUUAUGGGAAGACAAAGUCACAAACAGCUUGGCAAUGAAGAGGACAGAAAGUCUAAGAGAGGGAGCAAUAUGCACCAUUAGGCAGAUUUCAGAAGUAGGGAGUACGGGUUUUUAACUGUUGUUAUGUCUUGUUGUACUUGGAUGUUGAUGUCUAUCAUUCCCUUUGUAUUGAGAUUUGAAACUUUCAUCCUCACUUCAUACCUUAUCAUAUAAUAAGCUUACAAACUUCAGAUUUUGACAUGUUGUUUGUUUUUUUGUUUGUUUUGUAUGAUAGUGAUUCAAACUCCCGUGGCUCGAUCAUCACCUAGGUCACUAUGAAAUUAAAACUAAACAUUAAUUUUUGUUUUGUCAAAUACUAGAUUAAUUAUAUUUUCAUCGAAUAAAUUUGAGGCCGCCUCGACAGUACGACACACAAACCAUCACACCAUUAGAUGCAGAACAUACAUUUAGAUCAACACAAAAAACAUGAUAUUGAGUGAUGGUAUUUGAAAGAUACAAUUAGCAUGCAUUGCAUUUACAUAAAAGACAUGCAAUGAGAAGCUAGCUAGUUAAUACUGUAUUGGAUUUUGGAUAUUCUCUAAACCAGCAUUUGAGAGUAACUGGGUCUAAACUCUAAACUCUAAACUAUUGAUUUUGAAAAGCUCUUCACAAGAUUACAUAUCAAUAAAUCUCUAUAUAAGAUUCCAACUGCAAUAAUUUUUUUUUUCCACAUUUCAUAUUAAAUCAAUGGUAAGGUAGUGUAGAGUAGACAAGAUAUAGGUGAGUAUAGCUUGGUAUUUUGUUUGCUUGCUUUUGUUGUUGCAUGCUAACUCUGCCGAACAUAAGAUUCCUUACUACAAUAGCCCAGUUGGAUUUAGAAUUUUGGGACAAAGACCUAUACAAUAUACUUCAUGUUCAUGCCCAAACCCUCAUAUAAAUUUUUUGAUUCUGUAAAGUAAGAAACAGAAACUUGUACCAAUUCAAGGAACCAAGUUGAUGAUAAUUCAAAAAUCUGACAAAUUACAAGGACAAUCUUGUCCAUAUAUGUACACUAUGAACAUGAUGAAGUCUUAAGAACUAGGCCCAUGGACACUGUGGAGUUUAGACUGUCUUCAAGGCCCAUAUACACUUUGUUUAAUAAGAAACCCGGCCCGAUCGGCCCUUAUGUGUGUAAAAAGGCUAUAGUCUGGGCGUCCGGCCCACACCGAUAGUGAGGAAGAUUUAUUAUUAAAGGCAACCACCGUAAACUUAUCUCCUCUCCUUCACCAAAACCUAAAAAACCCUUCUUUCUUCUUCUGCUGUUCUUCUGUUCUCUCGAUUUCUCUCGUUUUCAAAUCAAUCACAGAGUUAGAGAGAGAGAGAGAGAUCGAGGGCAAUCAUGGCGACGAACGAGCAAUCAGUGUUACAAUUCUUUCCUUCUACGACAAGUUUAACUGCGAAAGUUCAUCCAGUUGUGAUUUUCAAUAUCUGUGAUUGUUAUGUUAGAAGACCAGAUCAAGCAGAGAGAGUUAUUGGUACUCUUCUCGGUUCUGUUUCUGCUGAUGGAACUGUUGAUAUUCGUAACUCUUAUGCUGUUCCUCAUAAUGAAUCUUCUGACCAGGUUAGAUAUUAUGAUUCUAAAAAAAAAAAUUGAUUUUUUUAAGUAUUUAUUUAGGGUUUUGUGAAUUUGUUUCUUCAACGUUUAGAAUCGAAUUAGUGAAAGUUUAAUGUGUGGGUUUGAAACUGAUUUGAAAGUUAGGGUUAUGAAACUGUAUUAGUGUUUUAAUGUGGGUAUUGUAGAGUUAGGGUUGGAAUGUUUAAAUCUCAAUGUGUCUUGUAAAAUAUGAAUCUGGUUCCUAUUUGGCUGCAUGUUUUUAAUGUUUUGAAUUUCAAAUAUUAUAUGUCCUAUGUUACAAUUGCUUACUUCUAUCUUUGGUUAUUGAUUAUUAUAGCUAUCAAUUUAGUCUCAAAUUCAAUUCAGAUAAGAUAUGAAUUUAUAGAUGCAAAGUUCAAAAUUCUCUCUCUUCCACUUAUAGUUCUGUCAGUAUAUGCAUGUUAAAAUCAGAGUAUAUGUGCGUAUUGUGUUUUUUCCUGAACUAAAAUUUUGUAACUUGUUAAAUUGAUCCUGUAUAUUGUUGAUCAUGGCAAAAAUUACUUAAUAGCCAAUUGUGAUAAUGUAAAGUGAAGAUAUACACUACAUAAUUUUGUUCGAUCCAAUUCUGCAGAUUAUACUAUGGGACUUGUGCAUUGUACAUUGUACUUGUUUGGAGUUUGGGAUAAACUAUAUGAAAAAUCAACCAACAAUUUUAAAUAAAGAAAUAAAAAAAUACUAUUGUAUAUGUUUAAUACAAAAACGAAGUAAAUAGAAAAGUGUGUUGCAUAGCAAACGUAUUAUUGUUAUCGAAAAAUAUAAUAAUGAAAAAUCUGAUAAAAGAUGUGGGGGUAGAUGUGUGAGUACAGUUAGAUCCAUGCAGAGAGAUUCACAUACUAUUUGGAUAGGAAUAUAUUGAAAUGUAUUGCUACUCUAUAUCAAGUUUUGCCCUCUUGUCUUUUUUCAUGUAUGGGGGAAUCCUUUAUUCUCUUGUUAUACUUUCUUCCCUGAUAAAAUUCUUGGUGGCUUGUGUUACUUUUUUUGAGACCGUCUGUUUUAAAAAUAUGAGUGUGCUGUGCUGCAAAUAGUUAUUGUGAAACAUAUGGAAUAUUGGACAGCAUAUACGUUUGAUGAGACCUUCACUUAUUAUCUUAACCUUUUUUCUUUGGCACAAUUACAGGUCGCAUUGGAUAUCGAUUAUCAUCACAACAUGCUGUUAUCUCACCAAAAGGUGAACCCAAAGGAGGUUAUUGUUGGAUGGUAAUUACCCAACGCUUUUCACUCUUCGACUUAACUAAUUAUUACCAUACACAAUAUCCACCAAGUGUAGUCCACAUGCUUUGGUAUGAGGUUUGAGUUUUGUUCAUCUCCAUGGUUUAUGUUAGAGUGCUUUAUCGAUAUGGAAGAGACUUUAUCGCAACAAUAUAUUAUCGAGGGUAUUGUGCCUUGACUACCUUGAUUAUGAUGUGUACAAAAGUACAAAGUUGAGAUGUAAAUGUCUUAGUGCUAUGUUUGUAUUACAUAAUUUUAAGGUGUCAGUGUACUAGUAGUCUAUUUACUAAUUAGAAAUGAAAAUCCAUACAUAAGUUGAAUUGUUCAUGUGUAUUCCUUGUUGUAUAGUGUGUUAUGAACUCUUGGUGUGUAUUUGUCAUAUAACUUCCUAUUUUUAAGUUGGAGUCUUACUGGUAAUGUUUGUAAUCUUUUUGUUGUGUUUCCUAACGUUCAACUUAUUAGUACUGUGCAAAACCAAAUUAAAUAGUUUUUUUAUGAUUGUACUUGCAAUGCAAUUUUUUUUUUUUUUUUUUUGGUUUAGUGCACUAUUGAAAAGUUCCUCAAAAAUGGUUGGACUUUCGAAUUGCGGUUACUAAGUUGUGCUUUUGAGAAAAAAUAUGUGAAAUUAAUGUCCAGAUGAGUGAUCUAAUGUAAUCCCAAUAACUAAGUCCAUUGGAUUAUUAAAAUUCAGUCCAUAUUUAGGAGUUCCCACUAUUCGCAGAAUCUACAUGUUAUAUGACCAAAAAAGGAAGUUUGGGGGUGUCUUAGUAGCAGUUGCAAUGUUUUGUUUUAAGCAUGACCAAAGGUUCAACCUAUUAGCAAAUAUCUUGUACGUGGGGGUGUUCCAUUGCUCAUUCAUUGAUUUGUUGGCUUAUGCAGUAAAUAUAUGAAAUUAUCCUUAGUCUUCAAAGUUAAGACCCCUCUACAGCAGUAACAAUUGCUGGUCUUUCCUUCUUUUCUCACUUCAAACCAUUGUUCACUCUUCCUUUCUCUUUGCCAUUACUGACAAGAAAUUCCAGAAUGACUGUUUCUGACGUGGUCGUGUGACACUAAACAGGUAUUCUACAGGCUUUGGGGUCAGAGCUGGUAGUGCAUUGAUUCAUGAUUUCUAUUCAAGAGAAGUACAAAAUCCAAUUCAUAUGACUGUUGACACUGGGUUCACGAAUGGAGAAGCAAGCAUUAAAGCUUUUGUUACUGUUAAUUUAUCUCUUCGAGACCAACAGCUUGCUGCCCAGUUUCAGGAAAUCCCUCUUGAUUUGAGGAUGGUUGAAGCAGAGAGAGUUGGAUGUAAGUACUGUCUUUCUUAGAAGUUUGUUGUUGAAGAAAAAACUUAUGAUUUAUUUUUUCUUAUUUGGACUGAUAAACAAGGUUUAUGGGUAAGAAAAGAAGAACAAAGUACCACCUAGAAAUCUAGAAUGCCCGAUAAAGCAAAUGAUAAAAGAAAAAGAAAUCUUGUUACUGCCUUUAAGUAGAUUGGUUACUGCAGGCUGUAGCAAUAUCACCAUUUACCUUAAGUCAGUUAAUUUAAGUCAGCUGUGCUAUGUACCUUUGUCACUGUCAGUUGAAUACAAAUCGGUACCAAGUCCAUGCUUUUCUAGUACAUUUUUGACGUUUCAUACUUUGUUCUGAAUAUGUAAAAUUUUCAUUGUGGGUAUAACUGUGAUUGAAUAAGAUUGUUUCAGUAUAGAAAACUAUGAUGUGUGUUUUCUACACUAUGAUAUACGUUCACUGUGUCCGUCCAUCCGUUGUCGCCAUAACAAUCAAUUGAACCUCAUUUUCUAGCUAGCAAACACAACAUUUUCAUCUCUUAAAUUUUUUUCAUUUGGCAGUUGACAUCCUGAAGACAAGAAUGGUAGAAAAGGUGCCUAAUGAUUUGGAAGGUAUGGAAACAUCGAUGGAGAGACUUCUUGCCCUUAUUGAUGAUAUCUACAAAUAUGUUGAGGAUGUUGUGGUGAGAAAUCUUUGCCUGUCAUUUUGGUUUCAAUUUUAUUCUCCAUAGUCGGUUUGAUGACAUAUUCUUCCAUUCCAGGAAGGGCGUGUAGUUCCAGACAAUAAGAUUGGCAGAUUUGUUUCAGAUACCAUAGCUUCGAUUCCAAAGGUUGAACCUGCAGCUUUUGAUAAGCUCAUAAACGACACUCUCCAGGUAGAGAAAAUUUGUACCAUUUUCAUAUUGGAACUAAUUGAAGAAUAUCAUCGUAUAUACUUGGAAAACUAGUUUCCACUCUUUUCUUUGUUGGCUUCACAUUGUCAUUUAGGCUUUCUGUGUUGCUUCUUGCUUAUAUUUUCCCUUUUUAUCCCUUUUUAGGACCAUUUGUUGUUGCUGUAUCUGUCAAGCCUUGCAAGAACACAGCUCAGUCUCUCAGAAAAAUUGAACACGGCUGCUCAGAUUCUCUAAUUUGACUCGGAGUGAAGUUUGUAAAACCUUGAGAAAUGUGUUUGAUGGUAACUAGGAUUUUGAACAAUAUAGUUUGGAUGUUACAUUGGAAGAUUGUAAAAUUUUGUUUAAUUUCAGAAAGGGAGAUUCUGAUCCUUUGAUAUAUUGGAUGUGGCUGUUAACUUCCUAGAGAACAAAUUGAGCAAGAGAAUCAGUUAAGUUUAGCGCAUCUUGAGAUAAGCAUGUUGUGUUGUUUUAGUAGCUGAGAUGCCUGUUUUUCUUGUUCUAAUUACUUUAGUCUUGUUCAUGGUAGUUCUGAUCAUUGAAACUUAUUAAGCACACCCGCAGAAAACGAAAGUUCAGUACAAGUUGACAUCCACCAUAUAGUCUUUCAUAUUACAUUGUAAAAAUGUUUUCUGCAAAGGUUUGCUAUGAAAAUAGUCCUUGGCAAAUCAAGCCCUUGUGCAUAUGAACUUUAUGAUAUGCCUUGUGGCUUAACCCUAAACCCUUGUGCAUAUGAAUUUUAAAACCUGGAAUCCAAGACUGUUUAUUAGCAUUUUUACUUGAUCAAAAUUGCAAAUCUGAUCUCUAAAGAGAAGACAAAUUUGCAAGCUCAAUUUGCUUUAAUCAAUGGUGUUCAUUAUGAUGGGCCAUGUACAUACUGAUCUCAUGCACGGGUAUGAGUUUGACAUAUAUAAGAAGAUCCCUUCCCAGCUUUUAAGGAUUUCUGUAGAGUAACAUCAAAUUCUUUUUGUCUACAUUUUCAUGAGAGCAGACUGCAGAGAUUGUGGUAGUGGUAGACUGGUAGUGGGAGUGGAGAAGAUAUCAUAUCAAAUCAUAUCAUAUGCUAAUCUUAAUUAUUAUCUUUUGGGUACAUCAGGAUUCAGGACCCACUUAAAAGAUGGUGGGAAAUCAUAACAUUCGUCCAUUUGCAAUUUCUUCUUCAAAAGUAAAGCACAAAUCUCUCCUCUUUUGUCUCUUAAGCUUUCUUCUUCUUUACUUUUAAUAGACUUCUUUUUCAUUUUUGUUGUAGAAUGGAACUGUUCUUCUU